rnacentral:lncRNA from 1 species
UCUUAUCAUGAUGUUUUGAGCAUGUUCUAGUGGUUUCUAGAAGUAGCUCAGUGACCAUGUUUUGUAACGCACUACCUGUAGAUGCUUUCCUUGCCCUUUUAUACCAUGAAAUAUUCCUGUAGCAUAUCCUUUUUUUUGUCUCAAAGUAUGCAUCAUGAAUCUGUUUCCAGCCUACUUAGUAAUCUUGUCUCAAAGUCUGAGAAUCUGUUAUGAUUUGCUUACUUGUCUUCAUGAAUGUCAUUGAUCUAGAGGUUAUAUGGAGAUAUUUAGUAAUCAUGUUUUGCCAUGUUUAACCUUUAAUUUAAUUCCAUGCAUUGGUUUGCUAUGAUCGUGCAAUGUAGUAUCAUUGUUUCAUCCCUCCAACAUGUCAACAUGUUCUUUCUGCUCACAUGUAUGCCCUGUUUUUCACUAAGUCUUAAUCUGUGUUAUAAAGUUGCUUUUUACAUUGAUCACAUUGGUUUAACCCUGAUGCCUAUGAGACUUAACAUUGGUGAUAUUUUAAGCAUGUAAUUUGUACUUUGAGUGCAUAUCAAGUUUGUAUUCAUAUGUUUCCUGUAGCAUAUUGUUUCUUUGAUUGCAAAGUGCUUAGUUGCUGACUUGGGCAAAUUCUGUUGGAAACUUGUAUUGAGUGUAUGUGUUGAACCGUGGCUCCGUUUGGAGCAUGCUCUACAUGAAACUUGCUUGGCUUUGCAUGUACUUUCAACAUGCCAUGUUGCAUCCAUGGUUUGGAGUGCUUGUGAUUGUGUUUUGCUUGCUUUUCCAUCAAUACCAUGUUUAACUUGUUUUGCUCAUAUCUUCUAGGCCGUAGCUUCGAAUUAAAUGAACUUUGUAUGUAACUUGACAAGAAAGACGCAUAGAUCAUCAUGGUGCACUUUAACUUGCUGUUUAACAACUUCAAUAUAAUGUGUUAUUCAGAUCUGGACCAAUUUCGAAUUUUGCAUAUGGGGACUUACCGGAAUUAUUGUAUGUUGAUUCCGGCCUCAUUUAAACUUGCUUUGAUGUGUUGUUCUUGUAUGCCUCAUUUGUUGCCAUGAGUACCAUCAUGUAGCCUUGUCAUGCAUCAUACUUGGAUGAGCAUCAUGUCAUGUUUAUGUGUUCUGUGUUUACCAUGUUGUUUGCUUCUUUCCGGUUGUGCUCCUUCUCGAUAGUUCCUGUUUCAUUGCGAUCGUGAGCAUUCGUUCGACUACGCCUGUUCGUCUUCUUCAUGGACUCCUUCUUGUUCCUAACGGGAUUUCAGGUAAGAUGACCGUCACCUUGGAUCUCACUACUAUCAUUGCUAUGCUAGUUGUCUCGAUGCUCGAUGCUAUCGCUAUGCCGCGCUACCUACCACUUGUUUAUCAAGCCUCCCAAAUUGCCAUGAUAGCCUCUAACCUUUUUUCCACCAUCCUAGCAAAUCUUUGUUUGGCUAUGUUACCGCUUUGCUCAGCCCCUCUUAUAGUGUUGCUAGUUGCAGGUGCAGUUGCAGGUUGUUCCAUGUUGGGACAUGGAUAUCUUGGGAUAUCACAAUAUCUCUUAUUUAACUAAUGCAUCUAUAUACUUGGUAAAGGGUGGAAGGCUCGGCCUUUUUCCUGGUGUUUUGUUCCACUCUUGCCGCCCUAGUUUCCGUCAUACCGGUGUUAUGUUCCUUGAUUUUCUGUCCCUAACACGAUGAGGGUUUAUGGGCCCCUCUUGACAGUUCACUUUGAAUAAAACUCUUCCAGCAAGGCCCAACAUUGGUUUUACCAUUUGCCUAAUAACAACUAAAACUUGCAUAGGGACCGGCUAGCACCCGAGGAUUCUUAAUCAAACCCCCGGGCCAAGGCUCCCCAUGAGUGUUGCUCCAAAACAGAGUCGUGUGCGGCUUCCCCCGGGGCAACUCGGGUCUCAGUUGUUGUAUGCUGUGCUCAUCCGAUCGUGGCCUUGCUGGUUUUGUUUUACCAUUGUCGAAAUGUCUUGUGCACACUACUAGGGAAAACCCUAGUAGUAGCGCUUGUUUUAUAGCUAGCAGUAGCGCUUGUACGAGCGCUACCAUUAAGGCGCUACAGCUAACUAGUAGCAGUAGCGCUAGGAAGGGAGCGCUCCUGCUAUACCUAGUUAGCAGUAGUGCUUUCUUUGGGUCAGCGCUACUCCUAGUAGUAAGUAGCAGUAGUGUUUCUUCUGAAAAGCGCUGCUGCUGACUUUUCCUGUAUUUUUAAAAAUACAACUUAUUUUCGUUGUGGUUUUAUAUACAGUACUUUCAUCAAUUGAUUUUAUGACCAUGAUUACUUAUUAUCUAUAAAAGUGGGUGAAAUGAACGUGGAGUAGAUUCAAGUGGAGGCAACAUGUGGUGCAUGUCGAGAGUACUACUCUAAUCCAAACUUGAUCUAGUUUGGAUUAGUAGUACUUUUGAUGUGCAUCACGUGUUGCCUCCACUUAAAUCUAAUCCAUGUUCAUUUCACCUACUGAUAUAUAUAAUAACUCAUCAUGCUCAUAUAACAACUUAACAUCAUGCAUCAUCGAUCAUAAUAAUGAAUAACUCAUCAUUGGUAUCAUAAUAACAAGUCAUACUCAUCAUCAUCAAUCACACAAGUUCUACUCGAUACCACAUCAUCAUCAUAGUCAUCUAACCAAUCAUACUUAGUUGUUCUUAGCACAUGAUCAUGAGUAUUAUUAACUAGGACCUACUACCUUCUCUUAGGUAGAAUAGCAUAAAACAAGAUAGGCCCUGACUCUUCAUUAUGGAGAAUGGAGAUUAUCCUGUCUCCAAUUCUUGCCUUUCGCACAAUGUUGCUUCCAAGUACGUCCUUACGACUGUCCAUACAUUUUUCCAUUCUUUGAUUUUCAUGUCUUCACUGGUUUUAGAAAUGCGAUAUGGACAUGUGUGAUUCGUAGGAUGACCUUGUUGUAUGUUCAAAACAUCAAGGCGGCCAUUCUGAUACAUCAGAUGAGGUACACAAUCCUUCGGGGUUUUCUGUUGAAAAACAUAGUAAUAACUUCGUAGUUAGCAAUGUAGUUAAGUUUUAAAAGAAUUUAUGCAAAAGAUGUACGGAUGUCGUAAUAGUAAAAAAUCUUACCAUGGCAUCUCCAUGGAUGUUAUCGUAGUUCAACACGUGCACUAGUGGCACGUAUUGACCAUAAUGUGGAGGAGUUUUAUAAUAGUUAUUGUAAUUCUCAAGAUCAGUACAAAAUGCGACGAGAUGAUUUUUCUCCUGAUUAGUUAACUCAGAGCCAUCGGUGUAGUAGGUUCCGUCUACCAUCUUCCGCACAUUGUUUGAAGAAUGAAAAUAAGCUGUCAAUGGAAAUAAGCUGUAAACUUUUUUUGAAAUAAACAAUAUAAAUUAGUUAAUAACUAUGUUUGAGAAACUCAUAUAGCGGUAGAAUUGGAAGCGUAUGAACAAGGACCCAAAUUUCCAUAUUGUCUUGGUCGAUGUCAGGAUCACCAAGAUCCAUGGUGACAAGCAUACCUCAUAAAAAACCAUACAUCUUGCAAAGUGGUUCCCAAUUUGUGCAACCAAAAUGGGUUACGCUCUCAGAAUUGUAAAGAUUUACUUGGAAAUCCAUACCAUGAUGGGUCGUUAGGUGAAUUUUCUUUGUUUCGAAAUUUUCAUGGUCUUCAAAAUCCAUCCUCUCCAAGACAUAGCGUCUUGCAUGGCAUGGGAUAAGCUACUCGAAUUGUAAAAGAUGAAAAUUACUCGUUGAAAUAGUUGAAGUCAUCCUUAAUUAUGAAAAAAACACUUGUCGUCGUUGCGUACCGUUUCAACAUCGAAGGUCUCCUGGAGCUUAAUGCUGAAGCGCUGACCUUCGUCCAGGUGAGGCCUGUCGCAUUGACACCGGUUGUCGUUGCACCAGUCGCACUCCCCCGGGAGACUUUCGUCGUCUGAUAACGACAUUUCCUAGGUUCAUAAUUCAAAGAUUAAACUUGUACAAUUCAAUAUAUGUACUACAAAAACUAAACUAGAUCAUUAUUAUUCAUCACGGGUUGACUAUCGGUCUGCCGAGUCUUUUUCUUGAAAACUCUGCUCGCGUGGUGUAUACAUUCGACCGUUGGUGAUGAUCGCUCCUCCUUUCGUCCCCGAGUGCAUUGCACCAAAAUGUCUAGCACACGGGAAUGAAGGAGAAGCGACCCCCACGACAACAGUUGGGAUUUUUCGUCCUCUCAUAUGUGGUGGAGACUCUCACUCACUGAUUCCUCUCUAACAUUUGCGACCGUCGGUGAUGGUCGUUACUCCUCCUUCCCCUAGUGCAUAACAAAGGUCUAGCACCCGGAGAAGAAGGAGAAACGGCCCCCACGACAACAGUCGGGCUUCUUCGUCCUCUCUCAUAUAUGGUGGAUACACUCCCUCACUAAAUUUUCCACCUUCGGUGAUGGAGCCUCGACAGACUUAAAGUCAACCUGAAAUGUCGUUUAAUUAUUUUUCUAGAAAAUCCAGGCCACUCGAUAUUUCCUACAUAUUCUAGCACAGGUCAUGCCAGAAUUCACGGAAAAAUCCGGCAUGACCUUUGCUAAAAAAGGACAUAUCGAGCGCCUGAAAUUUGCCGGAACGGAAAUUAAUCAAAACUCUGGCAAAACAUAGGCCACUAUAGGAGGUGUAACCUACAAACAUGGCCGGCCACUUGGGCAAGCACAUAUCGUAUUUGAGCAACACAAGAUAUACAUGCUUAUAUCUACAUCAUGAGCAUUCAAACUUGAUGGAGUAGUUUUCCAAUUUGAGCAUUCAAUAAGCAAAACCAAAUCAUAAAAUAAUUUAGUAUUCAAAUUAGCAUUCAUUCAAUAAGCAAAACUAAAUCAUCUCUUUCGUCCGUACAUCAUCGAAUAUUAUCACUAAUAGAUCUCGAAUAGUAUCAUACAUAUAACAUCACUAAUACAGCUAAAACCCUAGCGAACAACGGGUAUCGGCGCGGGCGGUGGACACUCAAAGAGAAGGAGCCCUCACAGGAUCAUAGCUCCAGUGAGAUCCCUGAAGAACCUCCCAGGUAUUGGAGAACCUGCCCUCCAACGCAACCAUGUAGCGACGGACGUGCUCGUCCUCCUCGCUGACACGGUGACGUACCACCUCCGCGAGGUCCUCAAGCUUCUGCACCAUCACUGGCCCACGCGAUCGCUACAAAAGAAGGUUCGGGUCAACGACGUGCUGGCUCCUUACCAAGCUGCGCCCCCCCCGAAGGUAGCACCUCCCAAUACCAGCCCGGCGGAGCCCAGUCCCGGACAUGGCUCCACACCAAGCCCAGGCCUCCUCCGCCGAGUCGACGACGAGGAUGCGGGAUAGGCAUCAUCGACGCCGAUGCGGGAAUAAUUGCUUUAACUAAAAAAAUAACAACCAAAUGUGACACCUAAAACACCUAAAUUCUAUUAACUACACCUAAUUAAAAACCUACAUUUUGAACAUGAUUCGAUCAUAACUAGGGUUCAUACUACAUUAUUCUAAGAUUAAACACCUAAAAUACCUAAAUUAUAUUAACAACAUGGGGUGGCUGGUCUCACCUCGAUCGAGGUCGGAGGAGCUCGGUGACGAGGACGACGUCGGGGAUGAUCCAGGGGCUCCUUGAUUUCUGCAAAAAAAAAAUAUAAACAAAAACAUUAUUAUCGUCAUCUUAGGACUUAGUGAAACUCCAUAAGCUACAUUAAAUUAUUCUAUUCAAAUUUACUUAUUCAAAUUUUCUAAAAAAUUUCUAUUCUAUUGAAAAGACCUACAUCUACUUUUUUUCAAUUUCAUAUUUUAUUCUAUUCAAAUUUACUUAUUCAAAAUUCCUAAAAAUUUCCUAUUCUAUUCAAAAGACCUACAUUUACUUAUUUUCUUCAAUUUCAUAUUUUAUUCUCUUCAAAUUUUCUAAAAAAUUCCUAUUCUAUUCAAAAGACCUACAUUUACUUAUUUUUUCAAUUUCAUAUUUUAUUCUAUUCAAAUUUACUUAUUCAAAAUUUCUAAAAAUUUCCUAUUCUAUUAAAAAGACCUACAUUUACUUAUUCUUUUCGAAUUACUUAUUCAAAUUUUCUAAAAAUAAAAUAUACUAAAAACCUACAUUUACUAAAAAGAAAAACCUACAUUUAACAAAAANNNNNNNNNNNNNNNNNNNNNNNNNNNNNNNNNNNNNNNNNNNNNNNNNNNNNNNNNNNNNNNNNNNNNNNNNNNNNNNNNNNNNNNNNNNNNNNNNNNNNNNNNNNNNNNNNNNNNNNNNNNNNNNNNNNNNNNNNNNNNNNNNNNNNNNNNNNNNNNNNNNNNNNNNNNNNNNNNNNNNNNNNNNNNNNNNNNNNNNNNNNNNNNNNNNNNNNNNNNNNNNNNNNNNNNNNNNNNNNNNNNNNNNNNNNNNNNNNNNNNNNNNNNNNNNNNNNNNNNNNNNNNNNNNNNNNNNNNNNNNNNNNNNNNNNNNNNNNNNNNNNNNNNNNNNNNNNNNNNNNNNNNNNNNNNNNNNNNNNNNNNNNNNNNNNNNNNNNNNNNNNNNNNNNNNNNNNNNNNNNNNNNNNNNNNNNNNNNNNNNNNNNNNNNNNNNNNNNNNNNNNNNNGGCCGCCGGCGGAGAGGGAGGAGAGAGGAGGGCCAUGGGAGGAGGGAGAGAGGAGGAGGAGGGAGGGAGGGGAGGGCGGCGAGAGGAGGAGGGAGGGAGGGAGGCAGAUACCUUGGGGGAGUCGGCGGCGACGGCAGGCGACGUGCGGCGAGUGAGUGUGUCAGGGAGAGUGAGGGACGCGCGCGAGGUGUAUAAGAUGAGCGUAGUAGUAGCGCUCUUUAGAAACAACCGCUACUGCUAUUUAGCAGUAGCGCUCGACAGAGGACAGUGCUAUUGCUAUGUACAAUAGCAGUAGCACUUUUUAAUUAAGAGCGCUACUAGUAUACCUACACUGCCAUGCAAACCGUUGGCAACUAUAGUAGUAGCGUUUUUUAUAAAAAACACUACUGCUAGAUGGAUAUUAGCAGCGCUCUUCGGUGACAAGCGCUACCGUUCUUUAGCAACAGCGCUUUCUUAUAAAAAGCGCUACUACUAAGCCCCUGUGUAUAAGCAUUUCCCUAGUAGUGGCACUGGGAUCCCGAGUCUGAUCGGAUGUCCUACGAUGGAGGAUUGUCUCCACGGAUCAUGAGCUUCUCAUGGGCUAAGUUGGGACACCCCCACAGGGUUUAAACUUUCGAGAGCCAUGCUCGCGGUUAUGUGGCUGACGGGAAUCUUUAAUAUCCGUUUGUAGAGAACUUGACACCAGACUUGAAAUAAAAUACACCAACCGUGUGCGUAACCGUGACUGUCUCUUUUUGAGUGAGUUCGAGAAGAGAACACGGUGGGGUUAUGUUCGUAAGUAGUUCAGGAUCACUUAUUGAUCUUUACUAGUUUGCGACCGUUUGUGUAGUAUCUCAUCUUACUCUUGUACUCCUAAGUUAGCCACCCUACAAUGCUUAGUCGCUUGCUGCAACCUAACCACUUAUCCAUUCCAUACCCAUUAAGCUUUGCUAGUCUUGAUACCCAUGGUAAUGGGAUUGCUGAAUCCUCGUGGCUCACAGAUUACUACAACAACAGUUGCAGGUACAGGUAAUGCGAUGAUCGUGACGUGAGAGCGAUGUUUACUUGCUUUGGAGUUCUUCUUCUGCUUCUCCUUUGUUUAGGGGAUAGGUUCCUAGUUGGCGGCCCGGGCUAGCAGGGUGGAUGUCGUUUGAGUUUCUGUUUCUGCUUCAUCCGUAGCCGGAUGUUGUUCUCAAGUAUGAUGUUUGAUGUAUUCUUGUGGCAUUUGUAUGCCCUAUGUAUGUAUCCCCAACUAUUAUGUAAUGGUACGAUGUAAUGAUAUCAACCUUUCAAAAGCGUUUCGACUAGCAGGGUGGGACCUUCGAGUUCCUCUCGGAUAGGAUCACAUAUUGGGCAGUUAAAAUUCACAAAUGGGUCCUGCCAGCUUUAAGGAGCCCACUUAAAAAGAACGAAUUCGUAGUUAGAAAUCGGCACAGUUAUGUGACGCCCCCGAUUCAAUCGUACACUAAUCAUGCACGCAAAUGUGUACGAUCAAGAUCAGGGACUCACGGGAAGAUAUCACAACACAACUCUACAACAUAAAUAAGUCAUACAAGCAUCAUAAUACAAGCCAGGGGCCUCGAGGGCUCGAAUACAAGUGCUCCAUCAUAGACGAGUCAGCGGAAGCAACACUAUCUGAGUACAGACAUAAGUUAAACAAGUUUGCCAUAAGAAGGCUAGCACAAAAGUAGCAACGAUCGAAAAGGCAAGGCCUCCUGCCUGGGACCUCCUAACUACUCCUCGAAGCCGAACUCCAUGUAGAAUCAUCCUCGGGAUCUCUAGCUCCUAGACUCCAGCAUCUGGUUGCGACAACCAGGUAGAAUGGAAAGGGGGGAAAGAGGGAGAAAAGCAACCAUGAGUACUCAUCCAAAGUACUCGCAAGCAAGGAGCUACACUACAUAUGCAUGGGUAUAUGUGUAAAGGGCCAUAUCGGUGGACUGAACUGCAGAAUGCCAGAAUAAUAGGGGGAUAGCUAAUCCUGUCGAAGACUACGCUUCUGGCAGCGUCCAUCUUGCAGCAUGUAGAAGAGAGUAGAUUGAAGUCCUCCAAGUAGCAUCGUAUAGCAUAAUCCUACCCGGCGAUCCCCUCCUCGUCGCCCUAUUAGAGAGCGAUCACCGGGUUGUAUUUGGCACUUGGAAGGGUGUGUUUUAUUAAGUAUCCGGUUCUAGUUGUCAUAAGGUCACGGUACAACUCCGGGUCGUCCUUUUACCGAGGGACACGGCUAUUCGAAUAGAUAAACUUCCCUCCAGGGGUGCACCACUUAACCCAACACGCUCGAUCCCAUGUGGCCGGACACACUUUUCUGGGUCAUGCCCGGCCGCGGAAGAUCAACACGUCGCAGCCCCACCUAGGCUCAACACAGAGGUCAGCACGCCGGUCUAAAUCCUAUGCGCGCAGGGGUCUGGGCCCAUCGCCCAUUGCACACCAGCACGUUGCGUACGCGGCCGGAAGCAGACCUAGCCUACCAGGCGUUCCAGUCCAAUCCGGCGCGCGCCGCUCCGUCGCUGACGUCAAGAAGAGCUUCGGCUGAUACCACGACAUCGAGUGCCCAUAACUGUUCCCGCGUAGUUGGUUAGUGCGUAUAGACCAAAUGGCCAAACUCAGAUCAAAUACCAAGAUCUCGUUAAGCGUGUUAAGUAUCCGCAAACGCCGACCAGGGCCAGGCCCACCUCUCUCCUAGGUGGUCUCAACCUGCCCUGUCGCUCCGCCACAAAGUAACAGUCGGGGGCCGUCAGGAACCCAGACCCACCUCUACCGGGAUGGAGCCACCUGUCCUUUGAGCCCCCUCAUCAGAAUCACUUGCGGGGGCUCGACGAGCCGACCCGACUUUAGUCACCACAUGUGUCAUGUAUAUAAAGUAUAUAGUAUAUACCCAUGAUCAGCUCCCGAAGUGAUCACGACCCAGUAGUAUAGCAUGGCAGACGGACAAGAGUGUAGGGCCACUAAUGGAACACUAGCAUCCUAUACUAAGCAGUAGGAUAGCAGGUAAGGGUAACAACUGUAGCAACAAUGACAGGCUAUGCAUCAGGAUAGGAUUAAUGGAAAGCAGUAACAUGCCACACUACUCUAAUGCAAGCAGUAUAGAGAAGAAUAGGCGAUAUCUGGUGAUCAAGGGGGGGGGGGGCUUGCCUGGUUGUUCUGCAAGGAGGGGUCGUCAACAACGUAGUCAGACGAGGCACCAGCAGCGACGUCGGUCUCAUAGUCUACUGGAGAGAAGAGGGGGAAGAAACAGUAAAUACGGAGCAAACAAAGCAUCACAAAACAUAAUGAGGUAAUACGCGGUGCUAGGUAUGCCCUAACGCGGUAUUAGGUGAUACCGGCGAAGGGGGGAGACAUCCGGGAAAGUAUUCCCGGUGUUUCGCCUUUUCACGCAGAUGAACCGGAGGGGGAAAGUUGCGUGUUCGCUAUGCUAGGGAUGUGUGGCGGACAAACGGGCUGCGUAUCCGGAUUCGUCUCGUCGUUCUGAGCAACUUUCAUGUACAAAGUAUUUUCAUCCGAGUUAUGGAUUAUUUUAUAUGAUUUUUAUAAGUUUAAAUGAUUUUCUAAAUUUCCAGGAUUUAUUUUAAUUCAAAAAUAAAAGAGAAACUGCUAAAUGUACCCAGCCCUGUGUACACAGCAGUUUACACAGGGGCUGGCAUGUGGGCCAGGGGGACCCAGUUGACCAGUCAAUGUUUGACUGGUCAAAAGGGGGUGGGGCCCCCGUUUCAUUGACAGAUUAGGCUAAACAGGGUUUAAUUAAGUUAACUAGUGAUUAUGUUAUACUAAUUAUGAUUAAUUAAGUUAAUUAAUUAAUAUUUUUAUUAUUGUUAUUAUAUUUUUUUAAUUCUUUUUUUAUUAAAAACGUUCUGGGCAGUGGGCCCCGUUUGGCAGUGGCCCAGAGGCCUAUGCGGGUUUGGUCCAGCGGGUGCGGGCGCUACGGGUGCGUGGGCGCUGCGGGCGCCCGCUAACGGGCGGAGGCCACGACCCAGCGCAGCAGGGCGCCGGCGGCCACUGCGCUGGUNNNNNNNNNNNNNNNNNNNNNNNNNNNNNNNNNNNNNNNNNNNNNNNNNNNNNNNNNNNNNNNNNNNNNNNNNNNNNNNNNNNNNNNNNNNNNNNNNNNNNNNNNNNNNNNNNNNNNNNNNNNNNNNNNNNNNNNNNNNNNNNNNNNNNNNNNNNNNNNNNNNNNNNNNNNNNNNNNNNNNNNNNNNNNNNNNNNNNNNNNNNNNNNNNNNNNNNNNNNNNNNNNNNNNNNNNNNNNNNNNNNNNNNNNNNNNNNNNNNNNNNNNNNNNNNNNNNNNNNNNNNNNNNNNNNNNNNNNNNNNNNNNNNNNNNNNNNNNNNNNNNNNNNNNNNNNNNNNNNNNNNNNNNNNNNNNNNNNNNNNNNNNNNNNNNNNNNNNNNNNNNNNNNNNNNNNNNNNNNNNNNNNNNNNNNNNNNNNNNNNNNNNNNNNNNNNNNNNNNNNNNNNNNNNNNNNNNNNNNNNNNNNNNNNNNNNNNNNNNNNNNNNNNNNNNNNNNNNNNNNNNNNNNNNNNNNNNNNNNNNNNNNNNNNNNNNNNNNNNNNNNNNNNNNNNNNNNNNNNNNNNNNNNNNNNNNNNNNNNNNNNNNNNNNNNNNNNNNNNNNNNNNNNNNNNNNNNNNNNNNNNNNNNNNNNNNNNNNNNNNNNNNNNNNNNNNNNNNNNNNNNNNNNNNNNNNNNNNNNNNNNNNNNNNNNNNNNNNNNNNNNNNNNNNNNNNNNNNNNNNNNNNNNNNNNNNNNNNNNNNNNNNNNNNNNNNNNNNNNNNNNNNNNNNNNNNNNNNNNNNNNNNNNNNNNNNNNNNNNNNNNNNNNNNNNNNNNNNNNNCGACGAGGUGAAGGCAGCGGCAUCACGGCGAGGCGGCACCGGGCGGCGUCGGCGGCCUCCUCCUCUCGACCCCGAUCCAAUCGGGAGAGAGAGGGGGGAAGAUAUUUCGGGGGGGUGUGGGGGUGUCGGUGGGUGAGUGGGGGAGUAGGGGAGGUUAUGGGGUGCGGGGUGGGCCGGCCAGGUGGGUUGGCCUGGUGGCCCAGUGGCCAGCUGGGCCGAGGCCCAGCGGGGUAGGGGGGGUCUUUUCCUUUAUUUCUUUUUUUUGUUUCCUUUUCUUCUUUUUAUUUUUAUUUUUCUGUUCUGUUUUAUUUUAGAUAGACAUUGUUUUUAGCUUAGAAAAAAAUGAUAACAACUCCUAAAUUGAUGUUUGAGAACCACCCACUGCCAUAAAUGUUUUACCCCGAAAUAACUUAGUUUAGAAUUUUAUUAAUCGAAAAAGGUAUUCACUUAAUUGUUUUGCUGCAAUUCUGAUCACGUUAGAGUAAUUAAUUAUUUUAUAAAAAUGUUGUUUCUCCACCCAUACUAUCGAUGAUUUAAUUGUCACAAUAAGAACAUUUUAGUUUUGAGAAUUGAAAACUUUUAUUGUUUGACUUUAAUUCAAAUUUGAAUUUGGAUCGGUUCUGAACUAACACGAGAUUAGCAAUAGUAAUCGUGGUGACGUGGCAUGAUACCAGAGGGUUACUGUAGCUUGAUUACCCGGGCGUCACAAUUCUCCUCCACUACAAGAAAUCUCGUCCCGAGAUUUAAGAGGGGAGGUAAGGGGGAAGGGAUUUGGUUACGAAAUUCUAACGAGUCUUCUCGGUCUUAGUUUCUCUUCUCGAAGAGGUCGAUCCAUUACAUUGACGUCUUCAUUUCUCUGCUUCAGGUCAUCUUAAUGAAGUCGGCAUCCUUUCUUCGGGAACUCCAUCGUACUUACGAAAGAAUAAAGGAUGGGCAUUCCAGGAGAACAGACCUCUACAAAGUCGACUAUCUGGUCGAUAACAUCGAGGAAGGUGGCGGAAGUAACUCUCGAACUGGAACUUUAAGAAAAUAUCGAGAGCAAGGUAAGCAGGUACCAUGAGAAGUUUCAAGCGGGUAGGCAAUCAUUCGAUGCCUGAAACAAAGUGUAAAAGGGGUCCAGAGCAAUGGGAAUAAGUCUUGUGUCUGAUACCAGAAUUGAUGAUCCCACGGGAGGUGGCUCAUGAAUUAUAUAAGAGGCCACGGGCGAGGAACAUCCUUGGGAACAGGGGGUGUAUAGGAGAGUCAGGUUUCGAUCAUGUGGAACUGUGGGUUAUGGGCCCACCAUGUGGAUUAAAAGUAGGAGGAACGGUGACAUCUUGCACGGUCACGAUAGCAAGACAUGUCAGAGGGUAGCCUGUCGAUUAUGUCGUCAACAACGUCGGUACCAAGGGCAAGGGACGAAGAGAACCAUUUUCCUGCUCGUUGAAAUGAGGCGGACCAGUAGGAAAAGUUCUCGUCUAUCGGCGACCGAAAUGUCAUCAACAAAAGUAACGGGGCCUUACUGACUGGGUUGUACGCCGAGGUGUUUGCACAAGCAGGGAAUUAAUAGUGCUUAGAUCAUAAAGAUCACCAGAAACGUUAAACCAACCAAUGGAAAGGAAAAUAUGAUUAUCAGAUUAAACAGAACAAUGGAAAGGAAAAUGUGUUUAAACACAUAUUUCAGGGGUAUAUCCUUCCCAAGGACAAUGGUUAGAAGAGAACCAUUUAGGUUAGGGAAGAGGAAGUUCAUGACAUUACCCAAACAACGGUGUUUGAAUAAUUGAUAACGAAAAUUUAGCAUUGUGCUUCAAAUGUUUUUAUUGAAGAUCGGAGUACCACAGACAUGCUUCGAGAUAGCAUUGACAUGGUCAUUAGGUAAGGUCAGGCAAUGGAUACACAAAGGAUCCAUCAGGAACAACUUAUAAAGUAAGUCUUACCAUUUCCUCAUGGAAGAAUAGCUGACCUUGCUAAAAAGGAAAACUUAUAACAAUAGGUCCUCCGGCCAGGUGUGUUAGGCAUGACAUCACCUUACCGGGUCAUAAAUAGACCAAUGUUAUAACUCUUGGAAAUAUGUUCCAACCAUCAUAUCUGACCGAGAUUCAGAUCUGAUUGGUGUCAGGAUAACUCAGACUCAGGAUGCCUGAGAAGAAAGGUGCAACACAAAUUGUCGAAACGACAUCGAAGAUUCUCGGGAGAUGAACUAUGGAAGCGAGUUCCGAACAAGGGUUCAUCAUUAAAUCAAGGAGAGGUGAGGAGGUGACUGAUUGACUCAGCGACAAUCCAUUGACAUUUCCAAAAAGGAUGGAUUUCCACAACUAUGUGAACAAGGAGAUAACAUUAGCCAGAUCAAAUGACUUAAUGAUGUAUGCUGGAGGAAAACAUACACAAUUAAACAUGGUUUGAAAGGUGCAUUUGAAAUAAGGGUUGGGUUGCACGCCCAACGUCGGAAUGGCGAUUGAGCAACCAACACACUAAAUUGGAAUAAUUGUCCAUUAACUCUGAAGCAAUAGGGCUGCCAGUGAUAAUAAAUUCGCACAACAGAGUUCACUCAACACGGGGACCAAGAAGGGAAUGGUGAUGGCGAGAAGCAUCACUAUACCAAGAAUACUUAAGAGGUGGAGCAAUCCUCACAACAUUCUUGAUAUAGAAGACAGUAAUACUACAAGGUAGAACAUAACCUAAGCUAGAUAGCAAGGAUAUCAAGGUACAACACAAAACAUGAACAAGUUUGUGUUGGGAGAAGGUAAGAAUGUUGUCGAUGAUUACACAAAUCCUCGAGGAGCAAGGAUGGUAUUUCCCAUCAAGAAUUCGAUAGAUAUCUUGGAAGACCUCAGAAUGUUGAUGAUGAUCACGACACAUUUGUCGAGAGGUUCCACGAAGAAGCAAUCGAACAGCGACUGCAUCAAGCAAAGGGACGGUUGUAGCGAAAGAUAUUGGAUCCACGGAUACAACACCAACUCGGGAUCAAGCUUGUAGUUUGAGGUGGAACGAUAAGAUGAGGAAAUCGACGUAAGCUUAGCUCAUCAUCGGAAGUUGUGCUCCGGGAUUAAGGACCAGGUAGCACAGUUAAAAUCAGCACGAUAAUGAUAUAGCCGACUAGGCUAGGAAUGUCUUGAAGGAUUAUUAAACUCAUAAGCAACAAAAAUUACAUAGAGUUAUUGAAUCGGAGUGCGGAAUUGAUUCACUUAUCGGUGUCCUUGAGGGGUUCUAACAACUCAGAACCCGUUGGAAAAAUGGAAUCGGCAAGAAUAUUAGUUGAUGAAGAACUCAUAAGAAGUUAAGUAGUUCCUUGGCAUUCUCGAUAUACCAGGGGAGUAAUACUCGACGACAGACCAAAGUAGAGGUUGGACGAGGGUAUUGCUCUGCAAAGGACAAGUGCUUAAACUUGCACGAGAAAUGGUAUUUAAAGGAGAACAUGGUCAGAACCACGAUUGAAAAAGGCCAGAUCCCAGAUAUAAGAUGAACUUAUACCCAGGGCAUAAUUAAUUUAAGAGAAGCUCUAAUGAUAAGAUCUACAUCGUGUCCAUGGGCAUGAACACAAAGUUCAAGGUCGACUCCCACUUCUCCAAUGCAUAACCUUCCAUUCACUUCUCGCAUUCGAUGAAGUUGUAUGGUAGAAAAUUAUCUGGUAAAAUACCAGAAGGGUAUGGCUUGUGAAAACCUUCGGGUUCAUACGGUUUUAGGGAAGGUAUAGGUUCAAUCCAUCGGGGCAUCUUAGAAACAUAUACCUCAAACUUCAAGAGUAAAAUCACCAGCUCAAAAGUAGAGUAUGGUUAUCAAGCAGAGGAUACAAAUUACCAAAGGCAUUAUAUAUCCAUGGAAAUGAUCACAAGGUUAUUGAAUAUGAAGGACACUGUCAGAUAAUAACCCAACAAGGGGUCUUGUGGUCUACAACGGAGCUGAUGCGAGUAUCGGUACUCUAUCAGAGGAAGAAGGAACGAAAGGGCAUCGGACUAUAAAAACAACUGAGUAAUUCAAAGCUCAAAUGCAAAGGAAUUAUCAUUUCCAAAUCAAGGGAUCAGAAGCAAUGCUCUGAUUAGGGAUGGAUAAGUUGAAUAGCCUUAGGGGUACAAUCGACGACAAUUUGAUGAGUUGAGAACCAGCUCCUGUUCAAAAUGACAUCUGAGCCGGAAGGGUGAAUUCUAGGAUUCGACUGAGGAAUGCGAGCAUCCUCAACAUAUUGAAUCAACGGACUUAAAAUGAUAAAGACAAGGGAUGCCAAUAAGAUUACGAGACUUAUGGGAUUAACCAUAAUGCAAGCAAGCAAGAAUUUCAAGAGCAACAGGCUGCUCAGGAUUUUCGAAAGAUCGAAUGGUAUUUUGAACACUUUUGUGAAAUACUUGAAUCAACUGAGGGUGAGUGGAUACUCGGUAAGUGCGAGAAUUAUCCGUAGGGGUAUUCAGGUGACAAAGAAUAGCAAGGCAGUAAGCUCAAAGGAUUCUGGGAACAACAGAGAGAAUUUCGGGGUAUCUUGUAAUAACAAGAUCAACUGGGAAACAUUGUAUGAAUGGCGAGUAUACGUGGUUAUCCAUAGGAGUUUAUUGAUGAAAGGGAAUUGCAAAAGCGAUGAACACAAGUUCUCGAGUUAUCAGCGGAGAGUAUCUUCAGGGUCUUCACGUGCAGCAGACGAUCAUCAGUAAUAAGGGGCUCUCCGGGUGAAAGUGAUAACGAGAUCCUAAUGUUAGAUUUAGCAAAAUUCACUUAACCCGAAUAGAAGAGAGAUCAGAGUCCCAGGGUAUAGACAAGGAGUAAAAGAUCCUAAUACCACCCAAUGGCGACGUGGGCCCGUAAGCCACACAGCCAUGUUAGUAAAACAGUUUUCAUUGGCUAGACUCAACUUCGGCCAAGGAGUGUGGAAGGGCGAUUCCUACAGGCAGUAGGCUCUGAUACCAACUUGUGACGCCCCCGAUUCAAUCAUACACUAAUCAUGCACGCAAAUGUGUAUGAUCAAGAUCAGGGACUCACGGGAAGAUAUCACAACACAACUCUACAACAUAAAUAAGUCAUACAAGCAUCAUAAUACAAGCCAGGGGCCUCGAGGGCUCGAAUACAAGUGCUCGAUCAUAGAUGAGUCAGCGGAAGCAACAAUAUCUGAGUACAGACAUAAGUUAAACAAGUUUGCCUUAAGAAGGCUAGCACAAAAGUAGCAAUGAUCGAAAAGGCAAGGCCUCCUGCCUGGGACCUCCUAACUACUCCUCGAAGCCGAACUCCAUGUAGAAUCAUCCUCGGGAUCUCUAGCUCCUAGACUCCAGCAUCUGGUUGCGACAACCAGGUAGAAUGGAAAGGGGGAAAAGAGGGAGAAAAGCAACCGUGAGUACUCAUCCAAAGUACUCGCAAGCAAGGAGCUACACUACAUAUGCAUGGGUAUAUGUGUAAAGGGCCAUAUCAUUGGACUGAACUGCAGAAUGCCAGAAUAAGAGGGGGAUAGCUAAUUCUGUGGAAGACUACGCUUCUGGCAGCCUCCAUCUUGCAGCAUGUAGAAGAGAGUAGAUUGAAGUCCUCCAAGUAGCAUCGUAUAGCAUAAUCCUACCCGGCGAUCCCCUCCUCGUCGCCCUGUUAGAGAGCGAUCACCGGGUUGUAUCUGGCACUUGGAAGGGUGUGUUUUAUUAAGUAUCCGGUUCUAGUUGUCAUAAGGUCAAGGUACAACUCCGGGUCGUCCUUUUACUGAGGGACACGGCUAUUCGAAUAGAUAAACUUCCCUGUAGGGGUGCACCACAUAACCCAACACGCUCGAUCCCAUUUGGCCGGACACACUUUUCUGGGUCAUGCCCGGCCGCGGAAGAUCAACAUGUCGCAGCCCCACCUAGGCUCAACAGAGAGGUCAGCACGCCGGUCUAAAUCCUAUGCGCGCAGGGGUGUGGGCCCAUCGCCCAUUGCACACCUGCACGUUGCGUACGCGGCCGGAAGCAGACCUAGCCUAGCAGGCGUUCCAGUCCAAUCUGGCGCGCGCCGCUUCGUCGCUAACAUCAAGAAGAGCUUCAGCUGAUACCACGAUGUCGAGUGCCCAUAACUGUUCCCGCGUAGUUGGUUAGUGCGUAUAGACCAAAUGGCCAGACUCAGAUCAAAUACCAAGAUCUCAUUAAGCGUGUUAAGUAUCCGCGAACGCCGACCAGGGCCAGGCCCACCUCUCUCCUAGGCGGUCUCAACCUGCCCUGUCGCUCCGCCACAAAAAAAACAAAUUCAGUGCUUCAAAAUGCGUUUGAAAGUAGCUUUUUCAGAGUACUGUUUUUGUUUUUUUUGCCACGCCUUCUAGGAAUGUGAUUUUAUGACGAAUUUUUGCAGGCACUUAGAACUUUUGUCAAUGUUUCUCUUUUUGAUUUUUUUUCGAUUUUACUGUUCACCCGAGCUCAUUUGAGCUCGGGUGCAGAUUAGCCGCGUCCGCCUUAGGGAUAUCAUUACUAAACUUGAUGACAAUAGGAGUAUGAUCAUAUGAUACUGUGGGUAAUGGUAGAGCCAUAGUACUUGGAAAUGAUAUGGUCUAGUUGGAGGAGGUAAAUAUCUAGUCUAGUUAUUCCAAUAAUAUAUUGUCCUGCAUGUUGCUCCAAGUGUAGCUUGUGGAUUUGUGAGGGAUCUCCAUAAGAUCAAGUGAUUGAAUAGCAUUGUUGAAUAUUAAGAUAUUAUUAACAUAUUAUUGAUAUACGAUACUACAUCAAAUCUCCACUAAUUAACAUUGUAAUUAUCACCUAACAAAGGAAAUUGCUACACCAAAUUGCUCCCAUCCAACGCUUAAAGGUACUUCUAAAUAUUUGUACAUGCACAUAAUGACUUGAAAUUUCUAUAAAAAAAAAUUUCAUAGUGUGUAGUUCUAAAGCUUAUAAUUUUUUUGUUAAUUCAAACGCUAGUGUUCUAAGUACUCCUUAUCUAAACAAACUUAAUCAUAUGAACCAAGCAAAAACUAGUUUGAAUUUUGAGUACCUUGAAAAGGUUAGAGCUCGGAUUCCAAUUUAGAUAAACCUUAACAGCAAGUUAAUUACUAUACUACUUGUUUUCACUUUUCCUCUAUUUCUCUCUUUCACCACCGACAGGUAGGACCCGCAUAGGUAGAGAGAAAGUGAGCUGGACUGUUUGACCAAACAACUAGAUGGAAUAUGAAGCUAUGCGAUAUGGCAGCGACCGUAUAAUUACUGCAACAGAUUUGCUAUUUCACAUCUAGACGUGAAAUAGUUAUCACACAUCUAACUUUCUAACCACAUGAUUUAUACAUCAAGAUUCGUAUUUUUUGUCUUUUUUGUCAUUUAGUGUUUUUCCUGUACGUGCGUCGCUUGCACAAGUGGCAGGUCGUAGCGUUUAGGCCAGAAGCUUGUGAAUACAGGUUUUUUCACAGCAUCGUGUGUUUGCCUCCGUGUAGGCUGCGGCCAGAAGCGAUUUUUUUAUUUUCUCUUUUGACUUUAUCCUUUUUCUUCUUUUGUUCAUUUAUUUGUUUCAGUCCAUAAACUUUUAAAAUUCACGUUUUUAUUUUCUUUUUCUUUUUUCUUUAAAAUUCAUGAUUUUUCCCCAUAUUUGUUAGUUGAUUGUCUACUACCAAACAGGGGUUGUCUUUUUUACUUCCCGGUUGCAAGUCCACUCUUAGCUUGUAACGGUGGCCUGGCUUUUUUUUGUCCCAGUUACAAUCUCACCCUCUGAGUCUUGACAUUUUUUUGUCUCGGUUGCAUGUCCAUCCUUGACUCGCAAUUGGGCUAAUUUUUUUGUCUCAGUUGCAAUCCCACCCUCGACACAACUAGGUCUUGACAUUUUUUUGUCUCAGUCGCAUGUCCACCCUCGACUCGCAAUUGGGGCCCAAUUUUUUUUGUCACGGUUGCAAUCCCAUCCUCGACUCGCAACUGGGUCUUGACAUUUUUUGUCUCAGUUACAAGUCCACCCUCGACUCGUAACUGGGGCCCAAACUCUUUUUGUCCUAAUUGCAAGUCCACCCUCGACUCGCAACUGAGCAUCGACAGUUUUUGUCUCAGUUGCAAGUUCAUCCUCGACUCGCAACUAGGGCCCAAACUGUUUUUGUCCCAGUUGCAAGUCCACCCUUAACUCGCAAUUGAGGCCUAACAUUUUUGUCCCGGUUGCAACUUGACCCUCGAGUCGCAACUGGAACCCGAUCUUUUUUUUUCCUAAUUGAGAGUCCACCUUCGACUUAUAACCGGGGCCCGACUUUUUUUUCCUAAUUGCAAGUCCACCUUUCAACUAAUAACCGGGCCCUACUUUCUUUUGACCCAAUUGCAAGUCCAAAUGAACUCGCAACUGGGUUCGACUCUUUUUUUUAUCUCAGUUGCAAAUCCAUAAUCGACUCGCAACAGGGUUAAACUUUUAUUUGUCUUAGUUGCAAGUCCACUAUUGACAUGCAACUCGACCCUUGAUCUUUUUUUGCCGCAGUUGCACAUCAAACAACAGCUCGUAACUAGGGUCCCACCCUUUUUGUUCGUCCUAGUUGCAAGUCCAUCAUUGACAUGCAACUAGUUUGUUCAUCCUUUUUUUGCCCCAAUGUACUUUCUUAAAAUUCGCGAACAUUUUUCAAAUUGGUGUUUUUAAUUCAUGGACAUUUUGGAGAAGCUAAAAAUUUAACAAAUCAUGAACAUCUUUUCUAAUCUUUUUUUUAAUACAUGAACAUUUAUAAGUUGUCAAAGAAUUUUCAAAUUUAUGAACAUUUUUUAUCAUGAAUAAUUUUUAAAUUCACAAUUACUUUUUGAUUCAUAUUUCUUUUAAAUUGUUUUUUAAAUUCUCAAACAUUUCUAAUUUUUUUAAAAAAAAUUCAAAAAAAUCACAUUCGUAAAUGGGGUAGCUUAGCUAAAGGGCAUUCACCUAGAGGCAAGCUAUAUGAUACUCGAGAAAAGACCUAGAGGAUGCAUGCCAGGCUGGAGCGUGCAUGAUGCAUGCGUGCACCACGUUGCUUGGAAACUUGUGUUAAUCAAGUUUAGCCCAGAAUAUGAACCCCGCUUAGCUUGGGUGUCUAGCGAUGGUACUGGUCAGCCAGCCAGUGUGUGUUAUCGAUACCCAGCGAGGCAGCAAGAGGAAUAAAUGGAUUAUUUCUUCCCUAUCGUAAAACUUUUUUUAUAGUACUAGUAUAGAAAAAGCCCAGCCCAACCAAGAAACAACAACAAACAACGAUGACAAAUAAAAAGACAUGAAAAAAUAAAGACCACGAUGCCGGAAAUUGAAACCAGAUUUAGAAACACAUGACAUCAUGUUAGAUGUGAGAUAAUAUCUCACAUCUAGAUGUGACAUAGUCAAACCCUUACUGCAACGUGUAUAUAGUGAAUGUAUUGACCGUAUUCGUUAGUACAGUGACCAAAGUAAGUGUACACGACAAGUUCAAUGACCAGCGGUCCAUUUUUACUCAUUUAAUAAAGAUGCUCUCUGUCUAAUCUCGCUAAUGAUAGCUCCAUAGUUACCUCUACUAUUCCUUCCUAUGUCAUUGAUAACCUGUUUAGAGUCCAAUGCAAUAACCACAUUGUGGAUCAUCAAAUCCUCGACCAAAGAAAGGCCCUCCCGACACGCGAUGCCUCAAGCGUAGCCAGAUCCGUCAUUCCAUUUACCACCAACGAUGAGCUUCCCAUAUAAUUUCUUGAAAUAUCACGGCAGACUGCUGCUGCAGCCCCUCUUUCCAGUGACCGCGCCAAGGCAGCAUCUACAUGUAUCUUGGUGAAGCCUCGAGGAGGAGCUUUCGGUUUUGCCGUUGCUGCAGUGCGUGCGGCUGGGGCCCUGUUGAGACUUACUGGAAGAACCUCAAGGUCAGCAAUGAAACGACAUAUGAAUUGAUGUGUCCCUGAUGAGCUUUGAUAUACUACCUCAUGUAUGGCCUUUCUUCUUGCCCAUCAAAUUGCCGACAAUGUCAUUGCAAGCCUUGUGAAAGCAGGAUGAGAUAACAGAUCAAUCAUAUUGAAAAUCCACUGCUUCGCAUCUGCCUAGAUUGUCUCACAUAAAUGUUCGGCUAAAUCUCCAUCAACUAGGGCCCAAGCAUAUCUCACCAUUGUGCAUUCUAGUAGAGAGUGGCGCCACGAGUCUUGUGCUCCACAUAACCCACAUGAACUUGUUGUGGACAUCUUCCUAUGUGCUCGAACGUCUUCGGUUGGUGAAGAUUGUUUUGCUAGACGCCACAAGAACAUCCGGAUUUUACUUGGAACCGUUGUUCUCCACAAGAGCUUCCAUGGAUUUGCAUCGCGGUCCAUGCUUGAUGAUCAUGCCGUCCCAUCCAGCCAUGCAUCUCUUCUUUCGUGUCCACUAACAUAUUAAAGCUGACCAAACAAAACAUCUUCCACUCUUAUCAAAAUUCCAUGCGGAGGUAACCCGGGUAUCAACUGUGCACAAAGGCAUAUGUAAAAUCGCCGGUAUAUCAAUUGGAAGGCAAACCUCCUGUAGUCAUGGCAGGUAUAUGAAGUGGAAGGCUACGAUCAGGUGGUGCACGACGUGGACCUCCAGAAGCUCCUGGUGAGAUUCGGUGAGGACAGGGUGGAUCUCGUCGACGCUGAUGGGCCCACCCACUACGGCGCAUUCGAUGUGACUUUCAUGGCUUGCCUGCCCAAUAUGGUCGUCAUGGCCACAUCUGACGAGGCCGAGUUGUUGAACAUGGUCGCCACUGCCGCGGCCAUUAAUGGUUGCCCCUCAUGCUUCUCCUAUCCGAGAGGCAAUGGCAUCGGCGUCCCAUUGACGCAAAAGAACAAAGGCACUGCCAUCGAGGUACAUUAAUUUUUCUGAUCAAGCUCAUAAUAAGAUCCAAAUUAGUCGACGCACCUUUAGUACAACGUACACUAAAGCUGCGCCAAUUAAUUUGUAUCGGAGGAUUUAGAUCGGCAAAGGCGGGACUAUGAUCGAGGGUGAGAGUGUAGCCCUGCUGGGUUAUGGGUCCACGGUGCAGUGCUGCAUGGCGGUGUUAGCCAUGGUGGAGCAGCAUGGCCAGGGCCUCAGGGUCACCGUCCUGGAUGCCAUGUUUCGGCAACCCGUUGGAACACGCUCUCUUAUCAGGAGCGUCGCCAAGUACCACAAGGUGAUCAUCACCGUCAAGGAAGGGUUCAUCGGCGGGUUCGGCUGUCACGUGCCUCAGUCCCUCUUAAUACAAACCAAACCAGACAAGCUCAAGAUGUGUAGAAAUGUCAUCCUAGCACGAAGUUCACCAUGGAAUAGAUAUAAAAUCAUGCAUGUUAUAGAAUAACACAAUAAAGAUCACUGGCGGUCAAGUAGCUAGUGAGGCAAAAUCUAGAGUUACAACAAAAAAGAGGUGGGAUUUCACAAAGGUCUAACCAAGAUGUGGCAUCCGAUGUUAGUCAAUCACUGGAUAUAGUCCUCCAUACACAAACAUACCCAAGGCACCUCGCUCGUCAGCAACGUGCCUACGGAUCCUCCCAAAUCCCCCCUCUCCCCAAUCCUUUCCCCACGAGUUCUUGAAGCGCCAAUACUUAACGCCAUCAGGAUCCGUACCAUAACCGACAAUCAGGACAGCAUGCCAUGUAGUUGCGCUACCAUCAGGUAGAGCUUCGCACUCCAUGAUGCCUCCUUUGUAGUUUAAGAGAUCAGGCGUACCCUGUAGACAGACAACCACGGGCCGCUUUGCUACUGCUUCCUCGAGAGCAUCCUCGGUCGAGUCGACGCACCAAAAGCCUAAUAUACGUGUUGCUGCUGCUACCGUCUUGUCCCUCUGGCAACCCGAAGCACUUCUCUUGGCCAUGUAUGGGUAUGAUGAUUCGCUAGAGAGUCCAUUAUCCCGUAUGUACUUGAAGGAAUGUUGAGAGUAGCCACCGUUGCAACCGUUGUUCUCCGUGUUGCAGUCGAUAAGCUCUUGAACCGAUAGGGAGAUCGAUUGCAAGGUCUGCAGAUAGUGUCCUGCUUCGACUGAUGCUGUCGUAGCCAUGGCCCAACAACAGCCUGCAACAAAUGUGCAAGUUAAGGUUGUGGUGUAUGCUAGCUAUGUCAACAAUUGUGAUGCGUAAUUACUCUUAAUUAAGCGACCCCUGCCCGCGUAGCUGGAAAUAGCCUACUACAUCUGUAAAGUAAUAUAAGACCUUUUAGAUCACUACGGAAGGAGUAAGAUCUACUAAUUGAGCGAAUUCAAACACAUGCAUGUCAACAGCGAAGAAGACCCUUACCACAACCGCCUUGUUUCCUCACAACUGGAGAGACGGCGCCAGCUUGGACCCAGUCGAUCUCUGAUGGGCGGGUAGACUUCUCAGAAUGCUCUCCAGUCUUGUUCAUAUGCCAAACUCCAAGACCAAGAGCAAUGUGUACGGUGCACCAUGCAGGGAUCGCUAUGACAUGCAUCUUGUGGUCCCUGGAAAAACGAUGCAACAGCAUACUUAAUUAUACAAACCUCGCUCAUGAGCAAUCUGAGUACAACCCCGUCAUGUACAUGAUUUGAUUAAUAGAGGGCCAUGAUGCACGUUUACAUAGAGGCAACCAUGCAUAUAUUCUAGGGUUUCCUCGCUGAGGAAACAUGAUGCAUGUCUAUGAUGAUGAAACUAUAAGAGUCAUAUGCCGCGGGUUUGACAGAUUUACUACUACGUACCUCACAAAGAGCCCAAAGCGGCGGACACUCCGAGACUGCAAUUUGGUCACCAAUGGUUGAAAGACCGAAUUAAGCGAUGGGCGUAGGUGUAGCAGCCUAGCUCCGGACGGCCUCAACAGUGAGCCUGCCGCCGCCGCGGCGGCCUGGCAACGGCGGCGCAACAGGAUUCUGCCCACGGCGCCGAAUGCCGGACGAAACAUGCCAGCCUGCACCAGCUCGCUAUCUCCAUCCCCCGCUCGACAAUGGAUCCGAUGAAUAUAGCGGAGGAGGAGGAGGACGAGUGUUGGGCAAGAAAACGAGAUUUAUGAGCUUUUUUUUUUAUGAGCUGCUGCUCCGAGACGAGAAAGACCAGCCAAACCGCCUCACGAGCUCAUGUAUGGACCGGCCCACUGGCACGACCCAUUAGCCCUUUCUUUUUUAUUUAUUUUCAUUUUCAUGUUUUUUGGUGGGUAUUUUCUAGAGAAAAUUAAUCAAGUAACAGAAUUUUUUUAUACAACGUGAAAACUGAAAAACAAAUGUUAACAUACCUCAAUAUAAUUGUUCAAUUAUAUGGAAUGAAGAUUAAUAUCAUAUUUGGAAAAGGUUCCUGUAGAUAUAAGAAAACAUUCAUGUAUUGGAAAAUAUUUGUAUAUAUUCCUAAAAAACAAAUCAUAGGCUUAAACAAGGCUCUUUCACGCACGUUUGGAUAUAUGUUCAUAUAGUUUCUGACACAUGUUCAUAUUUUUCCCAAAAAAGGAAAAGGAAAAUGAGAAAGGAAAAGAAAGUGAAAAAGUUAAAAACGGGAAAUAAUAGACAAGGACAAAAAAAGUGAAAAAAAAGCUAGGGGAAAGUAAAAGGAAGAUGGAAAAAGAAAAUGAACGGGAGAGAAAAAAGUAGCCAAAAAAAGGGAAGGUGCUUCAUCUCGUUUUAGCCGCGACCUAUGGGCUGAAUGCAUACAUCCUCAAGGAGGGCCCUUUUUGUUAAGAAAGGCCAUCAUGGCUAGUUUUAUUAAACUCAAAUAAUGUUUACAACAUCAAGGAUGGCCUUAGUGCCCCUCCUCCGUGUGGAAGGUCUUUUAAAAUUUAGCUCAUCAAACGGCCCCUUAUCCUUCAACUCCUUAUAUUCUUGUAGCAAAAAAAGCGGUUCCUAGCCGAACUCUUAAAUUUAGCUCUUAAAAAUAUUCACACGAACAUCAACAGCCCAAUUUGAUUAAAACUACAUUGCAUAGGGACAGCACCAAUAUGUUCAAACUACAGUGCAUAAACAUGAACUUAAUCUCGUUGAUUCGAACGAAACAAUAAAAAAACUAGUCGACUUAAACCUAAUCAGAGUCUACUUCGGUGUCAUCGUUGGAACCCCUUUCUUGUACAGCUCGAGCUGCCUGUGCUUCUCGGCGAAGAGCUUCGAAUACAUCCGGUGGAGCUCAGCCAUAUACUGCUCAUUGGCGCUCCCUACCUCUAACCGCUCGAGAGCCUCCUGGUUCUCUCGCAACUUGUGGAGGGAGACCAAUAGGGGGUCAAUCUCGACGCCGGCCGGGACAUUGCGGUUGUCAAUGGGGAAGUUGAAGUUGAGUUUAGUAGCGCUGUCAUGGAGUGCCACCACAUUGAAGUCAUACACCCUCGCUGCUAGCUUGACUAGAACGAGCCCAGCCAGUACCAGACUCCGGUGUCCGUGACCUUUAUUUCCGACACCCAUGUCCCCCACGGUUGCUGCGGCACGUUCUGGUACUUCUUGUUCGGCUGUGGUGCCGGCAGGUCGGCCGUGAAGGAGCAGGAGGAAAGAGCGCCACCAUGGCGGCCUUAGGUGGGUUGUAUGCAGGGCGGUCCGGCCACGAUUUCUCUCGCAAACUGGAGAUAAAAGUGGGGGAGGUUUGCCGGAGUUCAGACCGAUCCGAAGCCCGUUUCUAACCUUCCUGGCCCACAAAAAAUAUCUCACCCCUCCCGCGCGUUUUCGGUCAGCGCCGACAUUGAAGUGGCGCGCCGGCUGAUAGAGUGCCGCCCGCGCCGCUUCCCACUGCAGGCGACUGCCGAGCGUUCAAACAAUACGACGGCCGCCCGUCCGUCAGUCUGCCGCCCGCAUUGAUGGCACGUGGUUGCCGAGGCAUCUCCUCCGACGCCACCCGUUCGUCCGUCUGCCGCUCACCGGUGCUAUAUAAACCGCUGCCCCAGUGCUCCUGCCAUUGCAAAGUCAUCCCUCUCCACAACACUCCACGCCAUGUAUCCCUCCGUUGCCAAAGCUCUCUGGGGCGAGCUUACGUCGGAGCAGAAGAAGGCCAUGGAAGCCAUUGUUGCGGACUGGCAGGCCAGCAGGCAGCCAAAAGACUUGCAAAUGCAAGACGCCUCCUCCGACGAGCCAGCACCACCCCCCUCUUCCUCUGCGGCACCCUCCUCCGCUCCACCCUCGCCGGUGCAUUACAACCUCACCAUCGACGAGGCAUGUGCCCAUUAUAUGGGCUUGGUGUGGGAGGAGCGGGAGGAGCAAUUCCAGGAAGCGCAGGCCGACGCCAACUACAACCACGACUUGCUCCAGGAGCAUCUGCAUGCGGAGGAGCACGUCACCGCCGGUAGGCAGUUGCGUCGGAAACAGACCUGGCAGAGCAAGAGGCGCUGCUCGAGUCCUAUUGGUCCUCCUGGGAGAUCCGCCUCGCCCACUGGCGGUACCGGCAGCGUGUGACAGAGGUGGCGGCCACCGGCAAGGAGUGCGACGACGCGGGCGAGGCGUUGUUCGGCACCGACGAAGAGGACAUCGCCGAGAUCGUGCCCCAGUGCCACGAUAACGAAGAAGCCGGAACAUCCGCGGGCACCGCCGGAUGCGAGGAAGAGUAGUGCACGGUAGGCCGCCACCGCUCCUCCCCUCCCGUUGACGCCAAGCUUGGUGGGCUCAACAUCUUCGGCCGAUUAGUCGCUUGGCGGCGACAUGGAGGCGGGCAGCUUCAGUUCCCGGGCCUCCAGAGGCGGAGGUCACGGAGGCGGAGCUGGAAAAGGCGCAGCUUCUAUUCUCUUGGUUCAUGAUCGGACACGGGCCAAGGACGCCGGCGAUCAUUUAGAUUAGGUAUUAAUUAUACUCCAGACACCGCCUCGGACAGCUUUGAUGUAUUUAUAAUGAAAUCCGUCAUGUUUAUAUGAAAUCUGAUAUGUUUAUAUGAAAUCAGACCGUGUUUAUAUGAAAUCCGGACUUGUUUGAACGAAUUUCGUCCAGUUGGUUGGAGUUGUUGUCAAAAUGUAUGCCGUUAGCGUUGGAUGGCUGCCUUCCGCAUCCGUGACCACGGACUAGUACCUCUGUUCAUGGACGGAUGCGGGAGGUUUUUUGCGGGUUGUCAUUAGAGAUGCCCUAAAGACUGCAUAUAAGGGAUCGGCUAGGUCCAGUUUAGCCGCUUGAUAAAAUGAUUUUUUUUAUACUCAUCUAACUUCUACUCGGACUGAAUUUCAAGAGAGAAAAAAAAAGAACUUCUACUCGGACUAGUACUCCGCGUACACAACUAGCAUGGACACGAGGAAACCAAAUUAACACGGCUACCUUUGACACAUGUGGUUACACCCAAACUGACUCCUACACGAACAGAACCUACUUAUGUUACGUAGAUUUACCUAACAAGCUGUAGUAUAAUAACUAGUAGAUCAAUAUACGUAGUAGAAGAAAACGCCAUGUCGGCGCUGGGUGAAGACGCGACCCUGGACGAUGAUGUGGUAACGGAGAUCCUCCUCAGGCUACCGUGUACCUCUGUGCUCCGCUCCCGGGCCGUCUGCAAGGCGUGGCACCGCAUCACCACCGACCCCUCGUUCCUCGCAGCCCACGCCGAGCGGCGCCCAGCCGAGCUGCUCGUCGUGUCACGAGAACCUGAAUCUGAAUGGGCUUACCAAGAUCGUGUCGACACAAUCCCGCUCUCUCUCCGAGCCGACGACGGCCCGGCGGGGUGCCAGCGUGAGCUCUAUUAUCCCGAGCAUUGUGAUGUUCACUUGCUGGUGGGUUGCUGCGAUGGGCUCCUGCUGUUCCUGCUGGACAGAUUCCCUCCAGGCCAGUGCUGCUCCUAUUUCUUCGUGUGCAACCCGGUGACCAGGCAGGGGACAUGGCUAGACCUGAUGCCGCCGGCUUGCCACGGCAACCUGCGGGUGCUCUGCGGCUUCUACCGCCACGGCCCGUCCGUCGAGCACCGGUUUCUCGUCCUGGCCAAUGAACCACGAAGCCCGAAUAGCCUGAUGACCAACAUGGACCUCUUCACUGGCUCCGCCGCGCACUAUGUUUUCAAUUUUGCAGCCGCCACCGUGUCCUCAGAGGCUCCUCGCCGGCUGGGACCGGUGCCCGGAAACGUAGUCGUCAACCCCUACGGCUCCGAGAACCAGGUCCCCAGCCACCUCUACCAUCGGGGGAAGCUUCACUGGACGACGCAUCCUCAGGCCACGAGCAUGGGCAAGAUCUUGGCGUUCGACACACUGUCCGAGGAAUUCCGGCUAAUAUCGUGCCCGGAGUGGCCAAGGGGCCAAUACUCCUACCUGAACGACCUCUGCCUCAUGGAGUUGCACGGCAGGCUAGCCAUAACAACCACUCUACUCUGUGGCGAGUUCAUGGAGGUCUGGGUGCUCGAGAACUACGACGACGACCGGAGCUGGUCACACCGUUUCCGGAUCCAACUGCCGCCGCCGUUCUGUGUACGUUGGACGAUGGGCACCGGUAUCCCUAACGUCAUUCUGGUGGGAGGCUACAUGGAAAAAUUAGCUGCGGUAUACCAUCUUACCGACAAGUGGAGCGUAGAGAAGAUAGGGUUUAUCAACAGCAACACAUCGGCUCGUCACUUUCUCUUCAAGGAGAGCCUUGCGCCACACCCCUUUUUUGAUCCAUAUUAAUUUUGUCAUGGAAAAAAGUCACGCAUGAUUCUCAUCAAUCACUAUACUCAUUCCACAUGCAUAUAUGUACUUUACCUUCAGAGUUAUACCCAAGAAACAUCCAUGUACUUUUGCCUUCAAUUUCCUAUCAUUCCCGUAUACAAAAUCAGGAAAACUAAUGAUACAUAUCAAUGAGGUAGCUCUGGUAUCUCCUUGUAGUAGUACAUUUGAAUCCUUUCGUCUUGAUUUGCAAUAAUACUCCUAUCUACUACAUCUUUUUGCAAAUCUACCUUUUUUCUCUCUUUUUGAAACACAAUUUUUUCCAGAUAAAAAUACAGAAAUUUCGAAACACAAAUCUACAUACAUUAUUAACCAUGUGACGGUCCUAGUAUUUCUAAAGUAAGAUAGUAAUGUUUUUAUUCUACCAAAAUAUUUCUCACCACUAGCGUGAACAUUCAUAAUAUAUUUCUGUCUUACUGAAUAAUAUAAAUGUGUAUGAAAAUGCUACGGGCCAACUUAUCAAUCCCCUCAAGUGUUCUAUCUUAUUUGGUCCUGCAUGCUCCAAUGAGGCACAAGAGGUGGUACGGUCUGUUCUGGAAGUAAAGAAAGAUGAGUUUGAACCAAAGUACCUCGGGCUACCAACACCUGAUGGGCGCAUGCAUCGCGGUACAUUUCAGAAUUUGCAAGUACGGCUUAUGAAACGGAUCUGCAUUUGGGGUGAUAGUCACAUGGCUCAAGCAGGAAAGGAGACUUUGAUAAAAGCUGUGGCACAUGCCAUUCCUGCUUAUAUUAUGGGCGUGUUUAAAUUACCUUUGUCAGUAUGCGAUGAUCUAACACGGAUGGUUAGAAAUUACUGGUGGGGUUCGGAGAAAGGCAAGAGGAAAGCUCACUGGAUGGCAUGGGAGAAAAUUAUUCAGCCAAAGGCUAGGGGGGGAUUGGGUUUUCGUGAUUACAGAAUCUUUAAUCAAGCUUUACUAGCCCGGCAGGCGUGGCGGCUUCUCGUCAAUCCGGACAGCCUAUGUGCGAGAGUCUUAAAAGCUAAGUAUUAUCCUAACGGUCGUUUGGAAGACACCGUGUUUGCAGGGAACGCCUCAUCGUCAUGGCAAGCGAUCACGUACGGGCUUGAGCUGUUGAAGAAGGGUCUUGUGUGGCGGGUCGGCAAUGGCCAGAAUGUCAGAAUCUUGCGAGAUCCCUGGCUUCCUCGACCACCAUCAUACAGACCCGUCACCGUGCAAGGAAGAUGCAGAUUGCGACGUGUAGCUGACCUGCUCAGCGCGCAUGGAACCUGGGAUGUGGAUCUUCUCCGCCAAUACUUCGUGUCACCGGACGUUGAGGAAAUUCUUCGCAUCAGGCCAGCACCAAGCCUUGAUGAUGUGCUACCAUGGGCACCGGAUCCCAAAGGCGUCUUCUCUGUACGGAGCGCAUAUAAGAUCGCCCUCGACGACAAAUCCCGCACAUCUACGUGCGCCAUGAGCAGGGCACCGGACGGCAAUCGCGCCGUCUGGACGGCAUUGUGGGGGUGCCCUGCUCCCCCAAAGGUACGGGUUUUCGGCUGGCGUUUGGCGACUGAUUCCUUGGCCACUAUGCAAUAUAAAUUUAAGAGGCACAUUGAAAGAUCUGACAUAUGUACCAUUUGUGGUGUUGAACCGGAGGACAACUUCCAUGUUGUCUGCAGAUGCCCGAUGGCGCCAGCAUUGUGGGAGGCCAUGCGCGAGUCAUGGCCACUGCCAGACCUGAACAGCCUCAACAACUCGGGCCCUGACUGGCUGCUGCAGCUACUUGACAAGAGCACGGAGAUAGAACGCCUCGUCAUCCUGAUGACCUUUUGGCGGGCAUGGCACUGUUGAAAUGAGGUCUCUCACCAUAAGCCGGCACCACCUGUGGAGAGCUCUCGGAGAUUCCUUGAUAUAUAGCUACAUCUCAUCACUCUUGUGCAUCAAACAAAAUCCAUAUGGGGACAUAGCUAAAGGCAAGAUGGUGGUCGACGUUGGUGCAGGUGUGCGCCGUGUGAGAGAUACCCAGCAGCAGCCGCCGCCGGUGCCGUCGCCAUCUGCAGAUAAAUGGCAAGCCCCCCCGGCGGGCUGGGCAAAGUUAAACGUUGACGGUUCUUUCAUACCGGGAGAAGACACAAGUGCGGCGGGCAUGGUACUGCGAGACGAAGCGGGUGCUAUUAUUUUUUCAGCUUGCCGUUACCUUCGCUGCUGCUGUUCGGCACUGGAAGCUGAACUGGCGGCUUGCAUGGAAGGAGUAUCUUUGGCAUUGGAGUGGACGGACAAACCCCUCAUCAUCGAAUCUGACAGUCUACAGGCCGUAGAAUUUCUCCAGGAGCAAGGCAUUAAUCGGUCUCAGGUGGCGUCCCUAGUUGGGGAGACGAAGAGGCGUUUGCAUGGACAGCGGGAACACCGCUUUGCUCAUGUUCACCGCCCCAGCAAUGAAGCUGCUAAUUUUAUGGCUCAGUUUGGCCGUACCUCUUUACGUACUGCUGUUUGGCUGAGAGCAGGCCCAGAUAGUUUUAGUAACCUUUGUCACAACGAGUGUAAUGCCACAAUUUAAUUAAUACAUACUCGUUUGACCCGCAAAAAAAAAGAAUAAUAUAAAGUUGAAAAAACAAGGAACCACGAAUUCUUUCUGCCAUGCCCGGUCGCUCACGUGUUGCUCCCGUGGGCUGCUCAGGAGCAAACCCUAGCCGCAGCGAGCAUGAUUCUCAUAAAUAGCUAUACUCAGUCCACAUGCAUAUAUAUAUAUAUAUAUAUACCUUUGCACCCGUGGGUUGUUUAACACACUUUGCCUUCAGAAUUAUACCCAAGCAACAUCCAUGUACUUUGCCUUGAAUUUCCUAUCAUUCCUGGAUGCGUACAUGAAAUGAUGAAUAUUAAUAGUAGCACUUACUACUCACUUCAACGUUAGUACAAAGUUAAGGCAUUUAUUUUGAAACAGAGGGAUUACAUAUCAAUGAGGUAGCUCUGGUAUGUCCUUAUAGUCCAUUGGAAUCCUUUCACUUAAUUUGUAAUACUCCUACCUACAUCUGCUUGCAAAUGUAUUUUUUUCUUUCUCUUUUCGAAACAAAAAUUUACAUUAUUGUUAACUAUGUGCCGGUCCUAGUAUUUCUAAUGUAAGGUAGUAUUGUUUUUAUUUUACAAAAAAAAUCAUAAUAUGUUUCUGUGUUACCAAAUAAUAUAAAGUUAAACAAUCUCAUUUAUAAAAAUAUCUUGAGAUCACAUACCGAGAUAUGGUUUUAGUGUAUGAAAAUACAAUGUGUAUCAACAUUUAAAUGCUAUUGAUCGACAAAAAACGAUUUCGGUGGAGAUACAGAGGCCAUGUAGAUAACUGGUAAGCACGUCAUCACCACCAAAAUUUAUCUGUAUUUAUUGACAUAAUAUGUAGCAAUCUUUCACUCAGCUAAAGAAUAAAGUUACAUGGUAUAAUUCAAGUAUUCCAGGUCAUAAUUGUAGAACCACAGCUAAACCGGCAUUCCCAUUAAUUUGGUAGCCUUCAGUAACAUCCUACUAGAUUCUUUUUCUAUACUAGCAAAAUAUUAAGUUCAUGCAUACGAGAUCCUUGUCCAGGGACUGAAAGAAAGGCAGUCACAAUAAGAUGAUGAAUGCGGUUACUGAUGUGAGGUGGAUGUAGCUCCAAGCACUUUUCUUUCUUUUGCUGAAUUGAAUCGAAUUGAAUCACUCUCGCCUCCAAGGUCGCACACUCGCACGCGUGUGCGGCUCCAGAGGAACCCCAACCCUACAACCGGAAGGCCCUAGAUCUCCCCCCCUGCCGCUCCCAGCGGUGGCACCCGGCCGUUGAAGGCGGCGGACACCGACGGGCCAUCUUCCUGUCGAGGCGGGCCAUCACUAGGGCUUCGGUGGUGGUGGUGUGGCCGGUGACGCGAGAGCUUUGUGAUGUUGCCCACACGGCGAGGAGCGCGGAGGAGCAGCAGAUCCGACGAGAUAGGCAGCAGGGAGGCAGGGAGUGUGCCAAGGUGAGCGGGUGGCAUCAGCGCAUGUCCACGGCCACGGAGGCGGCGGCGCAGAGGAGGCCUAGCCAGGAAGGAGAUCCUGGCAGGCAGCGGGCGGCCGGUCACCUCCGCGUUCAUGGGUGGGCGGUGGUGCUCUUCCAGUGGAGUUGGCACUAGAGUAGUGUCCUGGGCUGGUGCGUAGGUCGGAAAUUUUUUGUUUUCUGUUGCGUUCCCCUACAGUGGCAUCAUGAGCCGUGCUAUGGGUAGAUGCAGGUUGCGAUCUAGAAUACAUAGAGAUGUAUGGGUAUUGCAUAAUAUAAUUAGGUGGUAGAUGAGAUCUAUUACUGAAAAUUAUUUAUGCGGGUGACAGAUGAAAUCUGUUACCCGACGUUCUUGUUGCUUCCCUAAAAUUUGCGUUUGCUCAAUCUCGAGACAGCAUGGUGGAAUUUGACAAAGUUCUGGCAAUCCGUGAUCCUGAUUGAUCAUGGAAGUGCUAUCAGUUCUUUGGGUUCUGCCGUAGUCAAAAGAAAGAUGAAAUUCGCAGAUGAAAGGGCAUUGCAGAUAUGAUCUGCACGGGGGUCAUGCGUAUGACGAAGUUUAGUAUGGGGCUCGAGAUUUAAUUAUCUCGUGUUUCAUACACCCCGAGAUGUUAAUCUAGCAACUUGAAUAAUCAUACUUGAUGAUAAAACGUUGGUAGCUGCGGUUUAAGUCAAAACCUUAGAAGCCGCGAAAAAUAAAUUUUUGCAUAAACCGAUUAGAGGCGUCUAACUUGGUUUUGCAGGAUAUGCAUGUGAUGUGGUAUAGCAAUGCUCAUAUUCAAUUUGAUUAUGUAUGAGAUGACUAUAUGAUGUAAUUAACAUGACCUGCGUUUCAUGAUUCGGCAUGAUGGCUGGAGCCAUAUGAUUGUCACUUUAAUGACCUGCGUGUCAACCUUAAGUAAUGCACUUAUUUUAUUAGCUAUAGAGAUAGCAAUAUUAUGUGGUGCAUCAACAGGGUGGUGGCAAUCUUCGUGAAGGUGAACACCGACGCAAAUGCCGAAGACGAAGAAAUGAAAUACUUCUCCGACAGGAAGGGCUAUACCAUAUCAUGCUAUUAUGAAUUGCCUGAGAUGUUUAUCCCUUAUGAUGCACCCUUCUUGAUUGCGCGGUAGUCGCUUUUUAUUAGGGUGAUCUCUCACUUAAAAUAUCAAAGUAGUUAGUGUUCACCCAAGUGUAGCACCGUCUGAAAUUCGUAUCUUUUCGGGGUGCGCCAUGUACACAUGAGCACGAACGAAUCGACAGGAAUGAGGCGGGUGAGGUCAGACCUCGCAGCAAGAUCACUUGGCUGUCUUUGACGUUCAGGCAGGAGAGUCCUGAGCUUGGAACACGCCCAUCGAAAGAUGAACAAGAAUCACAUAGAGAUGUGAUCGGCAAGUUGGCCUACCGAUUGAAAUUCGUGUCAUUAGUGAUGAACCCGUCAAUGGCAUCGAAUAGAAAUAUGGAUCUUGAAUCACUCUAAAUCAAUUAUGAGAGAUAUUGAUUUGAGUGGGAGCGCACUGUUGAAUUAACAUGUUUAAUUCUCAGUGCAAUUAAUUAUGAACACUGUCUAAGUGUUUCUUGCAAAAUAGUUGUAGAAUAAUGGCUCGCGUUUCCACCUUCCCUGUUAAAAUUGAUUAGCUGUUAAAUAUCUGGUUAAAACUUUACGUUUGGUAACUUAAUGUGAGGAUUGUCCUCAAAAGUGCCGAGAAGGAUUUUGUCUUAUCGCAUGCUUUCCGUAUCCUCCCGCUAAUGCUAUGGAUCAUGUGACUCUCGUCCUUCGAUCCAAAAGCUAGAAUUCUGUUACGGUCAAGUGGAAUAUGUUUGCUUCCAUGAAACCCAAACUUCGAAAGUUGGGAUAGUUAUUUGAUAUUCAUGGAACUGAAAAUUAUUUUCAGAUACAAACAAAGCAAUGUUUGUUUGCAAGUAUUAAUAAAAGUGUUUACUAUGCAUUUGACUGUUGGGAAAGGGAUCCAGAAGAACGACUGUCAUAUAAUGAAAGGUGAAUAAAACAACAACUUAAAGAUAAAGGAAGUGUCCAAAGGGUGUUAGUAUGACUUACACGCCUAGGAAGUCCGGGGCUAACGCCACUCUUAUGUUGGGUGCUUCUUUUGCGAGUAGGAGAAAUACUAAAAGUUAAACAGUUAGAAGUAUGAAGGCAGAAAGAGAGAUGACUGGAAUAUCCAUCUCAUGUAUGAAUGCCAUACAAGUUUUUGAUGUAUCGUAGGAUGGUCAAAGAUAUAGUUCUUGGGAAUUUUGGUUAAACAUGUUAAUCACUAAUUCUUGGGUAUUGUGAGUUAAUCACAAAGAUACCCGCUCGAUUGCAUUCUGUUGCGAAUCAAUGUAAAAGCUACUAUGACCUAAAAAGACUAGCCAGAAAUGAGGUUAAGGUAUACACAGGGAACAUAGUAAAUGUUACUAUAUUUUCCAUCGGUGUAUUGCCGUCUGUAUUUAUUUUCAUAAUUCAUUUAGAGUUUUACAAACUCUAGCCCAUUGCAUAAGGUAUCUUGCAAGAAGGUUGUUCAUAAGAGAACUUUUUAUGUUCGAUGUUAUGAAUAACACAAGGGCCAUACUUUCAUUAUGAAUGAUAUGUAUGUUAUGAAUAUUGAUAAUAAUACAAAACCUCUGGGUUUACUUUCAUAAUUCAUUUUAGAGUUUUUUACACUCUAGCCCAUUGCAUAAUUUUUAUUGCAAAAGGGUUGUUCAUAAAAGAACAAUUGUUGUUCAGUAUUAUGAAUAACAUGAAGGGCCAUGCUUCCAUCCAAGAUGGGAUGUAUGUUGGGAAUAUUGAUGGUAAAAUGAUACAUCCAUAACACUGACGCUAAAUGUCGCAAGACUAUGAGAAUACCACACAUGUGUGGAACUGCAUUUGGUCACAUUGGAGAAACCCGCAUGGAAAAAUUCCAUUAUGAUGGAUUUUGAAGUCGUUUGAUUUUGAAUCAUCUGACACUUGAAACUUUCCUCUGAAAAGUGAAGUGACUGAAAUACCGUUCACAGGCCAUAAGGAACGAGCAACAAACUUAUUGGUGAUCAUACAUUUUGAUGUAUGUAGUUCAAUAAAUGUUGUUGCAAGUAGUGGAUUUAUAUAUCUUCAGAAAUGACUCAAGUAGAUAUAUGGAUAUUUGCUUGAUGAGUCGUAAGUCUGGAUCUUUUGAAAUCAUUCAAAAGGUUUUCAAAAAUGAAGUAGAAGUUAUUGUAACAAGGAAAUUAUGUUUCUAUAAUUUGAUUGCAGAAAGGAAUAUCUGAGUUACAAGUUUAGCGAAUGUGUGAUGAGUUGUGAAAAGAGUUUCAUAACAUACACCUUCUGGAACACCACUAUGAGUGGAAUGUCUGUGAAGAUGUAAUCAAACCAUUUAUGACAUGGUAAGGUCAAAGAUGACAUAAAUAAAUUUGCCAUUAUCCCUUUUAAAGUGAUGCUUUAGAGGCUGCGGCUUUUACACUGAAAAGAGCUACAUCGGGUCUGUUGAAAUGAAUCCAUGGUAUGGUACGCCCAACCAUGUUAUCUCUUUUCUUAACAUUUGGAAUAUGGGUCUUGUGUAAAAGGUUACAAACCUAUUCCAAAUUAGACAAGUGCUACUUUGUAGGUUAUACAAAAAUGUUGGGUAUUCCUCCCUCACUAUACCGAGGCAAAUAGUUUUGCCGCGAAACGGUGUGCUUUUAAAGAGAAUGGUUCUUUCAAAAAGGUAAGUGGGAGAAUAGUGCAACUCGACGAGAUAAACAGUAUCUUCGUCAUCAGAUCAAAGGAAAGAGACCUUGGAAGUAAUUCCAGAGUUUCCUACUGCGAUUGAUACGGAAGUCUCUACAAUAAAAUGUAUGAACUUCGGUCGAACUUGCAACUGAACCACGUAGGCAAGGCUCGUGCAAACCUCUCAGGUGCGCGAAUGAGAUAUUGUUGUUAGACAACAUUAUACCUGACUCUGGAAUUGGCUAAAUGCCAAUACAACCCGAGUUAGUUUCCAUAUAAGUGAUUCAAGAUUAAAACCUUGACACACCUUUCCGAAGACUUAGAUUCUAACGAAUAUUUAUGGAACCUUAAACUAAUACGGAUAAAAAUGUUUUAUCCAUAAAGCUCGACUUGUUGAAAUAACAAGUUCAAGAGUUGACUACGAUAAGGUUGUUUUCAUCGUAGCGAUGCUUAAAGUCGGUUCGGGUUGAACUAGCAAUUAAUACAUAUUUCAAUCAUGAGAUAUGAAACAUGGAUGACAAUAGGAUUUCCAUCUGAUGGAAAUGAAACUAAGGACUUGCAUCUGUUACAGUCCAAGGCAUUUUGUCUAUCCAGAGGAUGCUAGUAAGGGUGCAAACUUCAGAAUUCCAGCGAUGGACAGAAGAGAGCAAAAUGGAGUUGGAAUCUUCGUGUUUUGGUGAAAUGGUCAAAGGGUUCUGACUUCAUCAAUGGGUAACGAAGAUGCUUGUAAUUCAAGAAAGUAAGUGGGAGCGUAAUAAUAUUUCUAAAAACUUUGUGUGCUUAACACAUUGUUAAUUGGAAAUAAAUUUCUUGACACGAAUUAGGACUUCAUUGGAAAUUGUUUUUGAUGAAGUGCUUAGGCUAAAUAGCCUCAAUUUUAGGCAUGAUGAUCUAUGGAGAUAGAUUUACCUAAUAUGGCUAAGCAAUGAAUACAUAUUGACAAGGUGCUAAAACCUAUUUAGCAUUUAAAACGCUAAGUAGUGAUUCUUGACUAAGUCACAUGAAAAGAGCUUUUACAAGACUCGUUGUCCCAAAACACUGAGGAGUAAAAUACUUGAUGAGAUUCCACACACCUUCGUGUUUUGGACUAAUCAUGUAUUCCAUGGUAUGUAAAACAACCAAUGUAAAACAACCAGAUAUGUCCGAUACUCCCAAGGUGUUGCAAGUAUGGAUACUAAAGUGAUCAAAGUACUGAUCGUGGGAAAACAGUGAAAGAUGUCAUUGAGUACUAGAGUAAGUACUGAUGAUAUGUUUUCUUUCAAGCGGAGAUCAUGAAGAGUUCGUUAUAAAAUGCUACGUCGAUACAGUCUUCAUCUUUUCUCCAUGCGAUUUUCAAUUUAAGUUAAGGGUUUUGUGUAAUACACAAUAUGGUGGCAGGGUAGUUAGAAAUUGUUCCCAACAGGAUACUGUGGCGAAUUCUAUAACAAAUGACUAAGUAUGUUGACGCUUUAGAAGGGACAAAAGAAGAUGUUGAAUCAUAUAGUUCAUUCAUGAACUUAGUAUGGUUCCAAGAUGGCUUCUGUCAAUGGGACACUACUGCAGGUAGUUGCUCCAUAACUCAGUCUGAGGAAUCCAGGUUCGACCUAUGAUUCACAUACAUACAACGCCAAGUCCACACAAAAUAUGAAUUUUGUGAAAGCAUGAAAAUGCGAGGAUAUGCAGAGAUACAUACGGAGCUGAAAUUGUCAAAUCCGAUGGACAUCAGGCUAUACCACAUGCGAAGCAUUUUUUACACCAGUAUGCCAUAGGUGUAAAGUGCAUUAGCAUUAACUAGAUUAUUGACUCGAGUGCAAGUGGGAGUCUGUAGGAGAUAUGCCAUAGAGGCAAUAAUAAAUGAUAUUAUUUAUCUCCGAGUUCAUAAUUAUGUUUAUGUUCCAUGCUAUAACUGCAAUGAUUCUCGAGUCUGCAAUAUCCACGAGGCUCAGAGGAAGACUCAUAUGCACGUGUGGAAUAAUAAACGGUAAGAAGUAUUCCUAGUCUGGCCUCUAAGACUAGCUCUAGUGUUGCAUGAUGGUUCUGUUUUCCUGAUCAUGGGCAUGUUAUGCCAGCAAUUUUGAGGGCACAAUGUUAAGAGAACAUUUGUGUUGAAUCGACCCGGAUUGAUGUUAUGCUAAGAGAUUCAUUCGUCACAAGUUAAUGGUGCAUAACACAGAGAUGGUUAACGUUUGCAUAAUUCCUUAGACCAUGAGAGUAUCGAGUUUCUUCAUGCUUGCUUCAUGAACUUUGGGGUUUGUUAAACGUCAUCCGUAAAUGGGUGGCUAUUACGGCAGCUUACGGGUUCAUGGAAAAGUGUGUCAACUAACUUGAUAACUCAAGAUUGGGAUUUGCUCCUCCGACGAUGGAGAGAUAUUCUCGGGCCCUCUCGGUAUUACGGUAUCCAUCAUCGUCUGGCCAGACACAGUGUGAUUUGAUCACUGGGAUGCCGGAACACAGAAACGAGAAAAGAGAACAAAACCGGUAACGAGGUAACUUGCAUGGUGGACAAAUUUUUCGUCCACGGGGAUGCAACAAAUCUCACAACGGGUGUUUGUGACAUAUCGCGAAGCAACAGGAAUAGCUCACUGCAACUGGAGGUUCACUCGAAUAUUCAUUCGUGUGGGUAUAGGGGACAAUAUGGGUGUCCACGGCUCCGAUGUUGAUCAUUGAUCGGAAGGGGUUCCGGGUCAUGUCUAUACUUCACCGAACCUAUAGGGUCACACGCUUAAGGGUCAUCUAUCUGCUGAAUACUAGACAAGGAGUCUGAGAGAAAAUCAUCGAAAGAGUUUCGGACAGCGGAAAAGUUCCGCAGAGAGAGGUCACUGGAUGAGUUUCGGUGAAACCGAAAUAGUUGUUUCGGGGUAUGCCAUUAAGUCAAAAUGGUUUCAAAACAUGCCUGAUAAUUCUUGGAGGGUGCCAGAAUCAUUCUCGAAACUUUUUGGAAUUUUCGGAAAUAAAAACCGGAAAUGUUCCGGAGCUGCAGGAACCGGUUCAGAUGCUUUUCGCGGAUGAAAAUCACUAAACUGGAAUUGUUCCAGAACACGUUGAAAAUUAUUAUGAUGGGUACUGGAAAUGUUCUAAGCCCACAUAGAUAUUUUCAGUUCGAACGGACGCUGAAAAAUGUCAUCGUGAAUAGUGAAAGUGCUUUUUGGGAUAUUUUAUGGAAAGCCACCUUUUGGGGCUUUGCCCAAAAGAUCUAGGGAUGACAUGGAUGGAUUGGGAGACCCUCAUGGGGGCCCACCAAGGGGUGUGGCCGGCCACACUUGGGGCUCCACCUUGGAGCCCCUCUUGUUCCAUGGUUUCACUCUUAUGUCCUUGAGGAAGGACUUCAUUCAUGUUCAUUUUGGGUUUUUGUGUUAAACUACCCUACCCCUUGGGAUUUCCUAUAAAUAGAGGUGGAGGGGCAGCCCUCCACACUCACUCUUUCUCACAUACAAGUGCCAUGCAUGAUCUGGCUUCUCUCUCCCUCCCAGCGAAAUAGUUUCAUAGAGCCGUAAGGCUGUCUGGGUUCCGGCAGGAACUAGUUCUGGACGGCGAAGCCCUGCCGGAUAGAUGACACCGUAUGUGUGCAACUCUGUAGAGAGAUCGUAGUUUCGGUCUUAGUUCGUGAGUGCCUCCCAAAGGGCUGUCUAUGUGACCGUCCGAGUUUCGAAGGUCCUCCCGAAGGGCUGUCCCAGUGACCAUUCGAGUUUCGAAGGUCCUCCCGAAGGGCUGUCCGCGACACCGUCCGGGGGGCUGUUCGACCACCUCCCGGAGGGCUGUCUGAGGAGCAGAUGAGGGUAUUCAUCCUCGCAGGUGGGAGGUUGUAAAUCCUAGCUGCGGGGAUCUGCACCGCCGAUCGUCAUCGACUCUACUUCCCGUUGCGCUACGAGUCGGUAACGAAAAAGAUCAAACCAUGUAUGCAGUCUCCAUAGUGGUCCUGGGCUGGUGCGUAGGUCGGAAAUUUUUUGUUUUCUAUCGCGUUCCCCUACAGUGACCGCCAUCUGAACCGGUUGAAUAUAGCCCGUGCUACCAUCUCCCACUGGUUGCACCCAGUAACCAAAGCCUCCCUAGAGUCCAUAGGAGUGAGUAAGGACCACGUGCGGAUUAAUGUGGUAGUUCUGAAGAUGACCUGCAAGAAAGUUAAAAUGUGUUGUCUGUUAAAAAUCAUAUCAUUCUUACAAUUCCAUAUAGCCCAUAAAAACGCACAUAUUCCAAUCCGAAUACGAGACGCGGUAAUAUGCCCAACCCCAGCUAACCACAUUCCAAACAACGAUUCAAUGUCAACUGGAGGAUUAAAGUUAAAGGCUAUAUGGAUCAUUCUCCAAAGCAAUUUGGCGAGUGGGCACUCAAGGAAUAGAUGUUGUAUUGUUUCAUCAUGAUCACAAAAAUAACAACGUCAACUACCUACCCAUCGCCUCUUUAUUAAGUUAUCCUUGAUGAGUAUUACUUUUUUGUGGACGAACCACAUAAAUAUUUUAAUACGCAAGGGAAUCUUAACCUUCCAAAUAUGUAACGAUCUCGAGAUUGGGCCAAAAUUAAUUAGAUCCAUGUAAAACGAUUUCAGCGCAAGUGCCCUAUUUCUAGCUAACUUCCAGUGCGUCGAAUCAGGUUGGUCGGAUAAUUGAACAUCUAUCAUCCUUCGGACCAAGUGCAUCCAGGCAGUCCAUCGCACACCAACUAACGCAUGUCUGAACUGAAUAUUCAAGGGAGUCAUUUGAAAUAUUGUGCCUAUGUAAUCCUCCUUACGUUGCAUGAUGUUAUAAAGGGUGGGAUAUUGUAUGGCUAGGGGCGUCUCUCCUAACCACGUAUCCUCCUAAAAUCUUGUUGACAUUCCAUUGCCAACCAAGAAUUUAACCCUACGAAAGAACAAGUCCUACAUUCUCAUGAGUCCUUUCCAGAAUGGCGAGUCAGACUGGCACUUGUUUGAUUUGGAUGAUACAGUUUUUUAUUCACGUCGUUAAAUGGAAAUGGACAAUGACCAUUUUGGAUGAUACAGGUGAGGAAGAGACUACAGAAAGACUAGUUAUGUGGUCACCUGGGACUCUAGAGUGUUUUUAGGUGCCAUGCAGUCUUGUUUUGCUGUUAUAGACUUGAUAAAUGCUAUGAGCUAUUUUUGGCAGCACCAGUGUCGUUUCAUUGUUGGUUUAGCAGGUGCUUUGGCUAAAAGAAGAAAAGAAAAAUGUUACGCACGCCUAGGUUAUGUCAUGAUUGUUAUUGGCUUUGACAAACUUUGACCUCUGUCUUCUUCAGAUAUCUGUAUCAGUGCUGAUGGUAUCCCAGGAGUGCUGGUUACUGGGGAAGUGUAUGCGGCAUGUCGAAUCAUUCUUCCGCAGGAGGCCCCUAAAGCUUCAACUUGUUGAGAAACUGUCUGCACUCCGCAGUUUGGAACCUUGCGGCAUGAUGCUGUGAAUUUCUUGGAUAGUGGGCUUCCCUGAUGGCUGCUCUGCUAGUGCUAGCUCAGGGAAUGGCCUCUACAACUGAACUGUACUGCAGUCGGUCUUGACCGAGAAUUGUUGGGGCCUAUGGUGUAGGGCGAUUGCUUGGCAUCGAGUUGAGAUGCAACGCUGAAUCAAACCCUGGCCGACACAGCGGAUCUGAUGUGGAUUUGGUUUGCUGCUCGUCCUUUGGGUCCGUGCCCAUGAUGGGCAGGGAUCACCAGCAGUUUACAAUCAUCCAUGGCGCUUUACCCCCGUGGUGUUCUACUUAUCUAAACAAAUUUUUGUUUUUGAAAUGUCAACCGGGGUAUAUAUAUCAAAAAGAGGAAGUCCUCGGUUUGUGAUCAUACAGCAGAGGUGAAUAGCGGGGCAGAAGGCCACGUAGCUUUUUUUUGGAAAUGGAGGCAUACCCCCGGCCUCUGCAUCAUAAUGAUGCAUGCAGCCAUCUUAUUAAAGAGUCUCGAAGUAGCACAAAUUCAUAAAAGUAAUACAGCUCGCAAGCGGAGCGAAACUAAGAAAAGAAAAGUACAUGCUCAAAAUCACAACCGGCCAGGCAAAGUAAAGGAGAAGCUCCCUAGACUCCUAUCCUGUUAUGCGACCGCCAUCCGAACCGGUUGAAUAUAGCCCGUGCUAACAUCUCCCACUGGUUGCAACCAGUAACCAAAGGCUCCCUGGAGUCCAAGGAGUGAGUAAGGGCCACGUACGGAUCAAUUCAGUAGCUCUGAAGAUGACCUGCAAGAAAGUUAAAGUGUGUUGUCUGUUAAAAAUCAUAUCAUUCCUACAAUUCCAUAUAGCCCAUAAAAGCGCACAUAUUCCAAUCCGAAUACGAGACGCAGUAAUAUGCCCAACCCCAGCUAACCACGUUCAAAACAAUGAUUCAAUGUCAACUGAAGGAUUAAUGUUAAAGGCUUUAUGGAUCGUUCUUCAAAGCAAUGUGGCGAGUGGGCACUCAAGGAAUAGAUGUUGUAUUGUUUCAUCAUGAUCACAAAACAACAACGUGAACUAGCUACCUAUCGCCUCUUUAUUAAGUUAUCCUUGGUGAGGAUUACUUGCUUGUGGAAAAACCACUUAAAUAUUUUAAUACGCAAGGGAAUCUUAACCUUUCAAAUAUGUAACGAUCUCGAGAUUGGGCCAGAAUUAAUCGGAUCCAUGUAAAGGACUGGAUAACAUGUUAUAGCCUUAUAUAGGGCUGAGCCACCAAAUCCACAUUUCUCUCCGUAUAAUUUCUAUAUGUUAAUGUGCAGCAGCUCCCGAUGAACCUAUUUUAGGAUAAGAAUUUUUUUAGGGCAUUUUUUGUUGGUUUUUUAUGAAAUCAAAUACAAUCCAGUGCAUUCCAUAGUAGGUUUUCUGCCCCUAGCUAGUGGUAAAGAACAAGUUCAAUUCAGUCUUAUGAUGUUAUUAUUGAUGCCUUGUUCAAAUCAAAUGGACAAGCAUGUACUAAUCAGUGAUUUAUAUCUUAAUACCGAAAAUUUGUGCUGAUUUAUGAAUUUGUUGAUCCCGAGGUUCUCCUAAUCCGUGUACUAAUUUAUUUGGGCAAUUUGGGUUAUUUUGGUCUCAUUAUAAGGACUGUGCUAAUCCAUGUUACAAAUAUGUUGUUGUGCCGACUAAUUUGUGCUAAUUCUGAAAAUAUGUGCGUCUAAUCGCCAAUAAUAUCAUGUGUAAAACCAAAAUUUCAUCGUUCUUGAGGACAUGGAAGCGCUUAUUCUGUGCUUUUCCUGCUGAUAUGCACUUCAGUAUAUGAAAAUGUACACUUGAUGUGGUGUUUAAAUUUUCAACUCACACUUAUAGAGACGUGCAGUGCACCAGCCAACUGGCGCAAGCUGUACAUUGACGGCAUACAGUUUCGGUCUUCCAGUCAACAUAAGUUAUCAUUCGUACUAGUCCGUUUUUCUGUGACACAUUAGCACGACUUAAGAGGCACACCCAUCUACGUGCCAGUUGCCUGAAUCAGGAGGGCGAGGAAGCAGAAUUCCGCUGUGUAGCGCAACAGUGAUAUAUGUCUGCACGCGCUAUGCAGGUGGAGGAGAAGCAGUUCGCGUGGAAGUUCCGUGUCUCUGAUGUCUGAGAAGAAAGCUCUUACAGAAUUUUCGUCCGCUUGGUGGACUGGAGCGACAUCCAAGUUAAUUAUAGUGUCCAAUCAUCCCUAUAUUUCAGCGUUUCUUCUGCUUUGUACCAUCAUAUUUCAUAUGUGCAUCGGAGGAAAUGUGCAUUCUACAUGAUGGAGUGGACCGUGUCACACAGUCCCCAUUUACAUGGCCAUAGGCAGUGGCUCAAGAAUUUUUCUUCAAGUGUCACUGUUGUUCUAGCUCUCUAUCUUCGAUUUUGUUGAUUCCUUAGUAUGGUUGCAAAGCUAGGCGUCAUCUAAUUUAUUUAGCUAAGCUGAUAAAGAGAAUUCCACAUGGCCCUUUAUUCCAGUUUUCACUGUCUCACAAUAACAACACAUAUUAAGCUCACCAAACUAGAUCCAUACUCAUAACUUACCUUUCAUCAUUGAAUAACUGGAGAUUGCCAAGUUGUCUUUUAUCAUGUCAGUAUAUUAAGUAUUAUGUAUGUUCAUAUGAACAAGAAAUAAUCAUCUGCCAGCAGAUUAUGAGCACUUCUGAGUUCCAUCAUGUACUCAAUCUUAAUUACAGAUGUCAUCAGAAAAGGACAAGAAAGUGACCACUUGCUUCCGGGUCUUCUCUCUUCAGCAAUAAGCAUGUGAUGCAUUCAAGAUUCAACGAAUUCACGAAAACCAAUUGUGUUCCUCCCUACACGGUAGGUGCUGCUCAAGAUGAAUUAUAUUUUGUUGAUACACAGUAGGUGUGUUGUUUCACGUCUAGUCAGUGGAGGUAAUUGUUUAAUUUGCAAUUCUGAACUUUCUGUAGUAUUCAGAAAGAAAAUCUGUAUCAUUUACUAAGGUCACAACCAAUUGAACAUAAUUUUGAAAACCUGCACUGGAUGUUCUGACAUAAAUACAUAGUAUAUUGCUCUACUUGCAAUAUUCUUGAUUACAUGCUCGUGGAAGUUUUUUAGUUGAAGUGCACAUUGUCUAAUAUGUCUGCCGAUGCCUCAGUUUAGCCAUUUAACUAAUUUAAAACCAGCAUAGUUAAUGCCAACGCCUUGUUUAUUUUGGAACUAUCUAUGGCUAUCUGAUCUCAUGAGGGAUAUUGCUUUCCAAUUAAAAUGAUACUUUAUGUAACCUCAUGAGGGCUAGCUAUUGCUAUUACUAACUGCACUAGUCAACUAGGAUAUCCACUCUUCCAUCUUAAUUCUUCUGUUCUUGAACUAGCUAGACCCGUAAGGAGGAGGAUGUGAAGUUGAUACACACCACUACUGAAAUUUUCCUCUUUGCCGAGUGUUAGGCUCUUUGCCAAGUGCACUAAAUCGGACACUCGACAAUACUGUCUUUGCCGCGUACUUAACUCGGCAAAAACAUGAAACUCGGCAAAAACGUGAAACUCGGCAAACAGGCACUUUGCCGAGUGUCGGGGACAAAACGCUCGGUAAAAUAGGAAAACUGGCAAACAAGGCUUUGCCGAGUGCUACACUCGGAAGGGGUCUUUACCGAGUGUCACACUCGGCAAAAGGGGGGGUCUUCACUAAACUGCAUGGUUUUGACUGUAGAGGUUGCAUACGACCUUGGAUGAAGAUGGUCCAAAAAUCAAAGUUGUUCAUUUUGACGAGACGGACAAUUUGUAUGUUGAAAAACUUUUCAUUUUAGGCCAUAUUAAUUGCACUUUUUGGCAUGCCAAAUAUUAAUAUAGUCUCAAAUGACCAAGGUGAUGGCCAUAUUCAUUGCAUAGUUUUAUUAUAAUGUUCCCAAAUCAAACACAUAGGUGCAUCUUGACAUUACCAACAAUGUUGCCAAAUAGAGUUUCCUACUUUUUGUACAAAAAUCAUUUUUCAUUUUCCAAGUGUAAAAAAUGGGUGUUUUUUGUGAAGCAAGUACAAAAAUCAUGGUGCAAAAUGGCACCACUCCAAUUAUCACAGUAAGUAGACCAUAUUUUAUGCACAAUUCCCAAGUUUCAUCGAUAUUCUAGUUUUCUAGCUACUUUCGCACAUUUAAUUAACUUUAUGCCAAUUUCCCGAUAGUAAUUAAAAUUUGAACUGGAAGUGUGUGAUAGCUUGGUCAUCAAAAUUAGCAAAAAGAGAUUCAACCCCUUGUAAUAAAUAGCCAUGUCGACCAUUUUGACCCCGUAUUAAAAAAGAUAGAAAAAGAAUACAAGUUCAAAAAAUGCAAUCCUUUUGCAUGAAGUCCUGUUAUGUGUACUAGUUUUGGAAGGAAAUACCAAACUUUCAAUAUAACAAAUUUGAAAAAGAUCCUUCACAAAACGGGCUAUCGUGUAUGAACAUUAAUGACUUUCAAUUCAAAGGACCAAGGUGAUGGUCAUAUUCAUUGCAUAGUUUAUUAUAAUAUUCCCAAAUUAGACACAUAGACGCAUAUUGACAUUACAAACAAUGUUGCCAAAUAGAGUUUCCUUUUUUACAAAAAAAAAACAUUUUUCAUUUUCAAAGUGUCAAAAAUGGAUUUUUUUUGUGAAGAAAUUACGAAAACCAGGGUGCAAAAUGGCACCACUCCAAGUGUCACCAUAAUUAAACCAUAUUUUAUGCACAAUCCCUGUGUUUCAUGGAUUUUCUAUAUUUCUGGUUACUUUCGCACAUUUAAAUGACUUUAUGUCAAUUCCCGGAAGUGAUUCAAAUUUGAACUGCAAGUGUGUGAUAACACUUUCAUAAAAUUAGCAAAAAAUAUUUUUAUGCACAUAUAUAGUCAUUAUAUGGGAGAACCACUUAGUGUUUUGAGAGAUUCAUCGCCUUGUGAUAAAUCACCAUGCCGUUCAUUUUGACCCCGUUUUGAAAAAAAUGAAAGAAAAUGAAUACAAGUUCAAAAAAUGCAGUGGUUUCGCAUGGAGUCCUUUUAUGUGUACUAGUUACGAGGAAAAAUACCAAAGUUUUCAUAUGACUAAUUUGAAAAAAAAUCCUUCACAAAAUAUGCUAUCGCCUAUGAACAUUCAUGGAUUUCAAGUCAAAUGACCAUGUGAUGCCCAUAUUCAUUGCAUGGUUUAAUAUAAUGUGCCCAAACUUGGAUCAUGGAUGCAUCUUGUCAUUACAAACAAGGCUGCCAAAUACAGUUUCCAACUUUUUUGUAAAAAUAAGUCAUUUCCCAUUUUCUAAGUGUAAAAAAGAGUAUUUUUAUGAAGCAAGCACAAAAAACAGGGUGUAAAAUGGCAACAGUCCAAUUUUCACAAAAAAUAUACCAUAUUUGGUGGACAAUUCUCAAGUUUUAUGAAUUUUCUAGAUUUCUUGCUAUUUCCACACAUUUAAAACACUUCUGAUUUCCCAAAAGUAUUUCAAAUUUGAAAUGCAAGUCUGCAAUUACUCAGUCCAAAUAUUUUUAGAUACACAAGUAUUCACUAUAUGGAAGAACCGCUUAGAUUUUUCAUAUUUUCUUGUGUGUUCACAAUAUUUCUAUUCAUUUUUUUGUGUUUACCGAGUGUUACGCUAAUUAAAAAUCAUGUUUUUUCUGAUUGGUUGAGAGAAAGCACACUCUUCUCAACCAAUCUGAGAACAACAUACGGAAUGAUGACGUGGCGUCAUGGCAGCCGCACAUCUCUUACUCUCUCUUCUAUCUCUCUCCCACUCUCUUCUAAAUCACGAGCGUGUGUCUCAUUUCCUCAUCUCUCUCCUUGUCUUCUCUCGCGGCCACCACCGGCGGGCAGUGGCCGACCACCAGCACCGCCGCGACAUUGCGAGCGCGCCAUGGAGAACAAGGCCCGCAGACAUUCGUCUCCUCCGGCCGCUGACCUCGCCCUUCCGAUGGCACGCCAGAUCAGCCAGUACGUCGAGGUCGUGCGGACGACCGACCGGACUCCCAACUACACGCGCUUGGCUCCGCCGUCUUUGCUCCUCUUCCUGACCUAGCUGUUGCUCCUCUUCCGCAGGUCCUUCUCUUCAUCGAUCACGCAAGCAGCACCACCACCAGCGGUGUAGCUAGCUAGCUAGUAUACUGGUGUGCUAGCUAGUACUCCGAUGUUCUGGCUAGCCGGUGCAAUAGUAGCUCAGGAGGACGGCGAGGAUCAAGAGCAGCAACAGCGCACACGACAAGCAGCAACGGGCACGCGAUGGCAAGCAGCGGUAGCAGUCGGCGCCUGCAUUUGACCACCAAUGGAUAUAGGACGGGGUCAGGCGGCGCUAUUUUUUUUUCUAUUUACUCCCUUUACCGAGCGGUACUCUCGGUAAACUACCUUGCCACAUAGCUACAACACCAUUUGCGCCGUCCCGUCUGAUCGCUUUUUUUGCCGAGUGACCGUAUUUGAAACUCGGUAAAGACUUUGUCCAGUGUUUGACAAGUGGAUCUCGGCAAAUUUUUGUUUGCCGAAAAGGGGUACGCCGAGUGUCCUUUGCUGAGUACAACACUUGGCAAAGGCUUUGCCGAGUGUUUGUGGCACCCACACUCUCAGGUUUUAUGGUCUCUACCUUAGGUUGCUUAUUUUGCAUUCUGUGAAGAACAAAUGUGGUAUAGUAUGAGAGCAUGUAAAGGNNNNNNNNNNNNNNNNNNNNNNNNNNNNNNNNNNNNNNNNNNNNNNNNNNNNNNNNNNNNNNNNNNNNNNNNNNNNNNNNNNNNNNNNNNNNNNNNNNNNNNNNNNNNNNNNNNNNNNNNNNNNNNNNNNNNNNNNNNNNNNNNNNNNNNNNNNNNNNNNNNNNNNNNNNNNNNNNNNNNNNNNNNNNNNNNNNNNNNNNNNNNNNNNNNNNNNNNNNNNNNNNNAACACCCUGCUGCCAGCAACUCCUUUUCCGUACCUAGCACAAUGAUUGUUGGAUUGAUGUAGCGAUUUUUUGCAACCACUCAAAGGACAUAAAAAUAAGGAAAAAAUUGGGAACUUAUUUAAAAUUAACUAGCUAGUGGUGUCUGUGAAGUUCAAGAAAAAGCUGGACUUUUUCUUGACAACAAGUUAAUGUCAAAGAAUUAAUAAAUGUAUUUGCAAAAAAAGAAAGCAAACCGAAUUAACGAUAAAACUGGUUUAGGUUUUCACUAUAGACAAUGGUAGUAGUCUGAACCAGAUACAAACCAAUAAAAAACAAGAUCUCAAAUCUCCAACCAUUAAAGAGUUGUAUGUUAGUCCUUUCUUAUGUUCAACCCAAAUUUUACAAUAACACUAUUAUACUUAAAUCUUGAUUAUUGCAAUACAUAAAUAAUUAAUUAAUGCACCAGCUUGCGGUUGUAACCAGACAAGAUGAACCUAUGAACUUGCAAGAAUGGCAAUCGGAUCGACAUCCACACAACACCGGUAUGAACAUUGUCUAGAUCAAACUUUAUUUGUAUUUUAUUUCAUAAUUUAAACUCGUUUGUGCGGAUCACACAUGACAUUGUGUGACACUUUAUUUGCCACCGCUACAUCGACAUGCCCAUCGACUAAGCAACGGCGAUCCAACUAUAUAUUACUAGAGAUAUUUUCUUAUCAGUAGGCACCAACUUGGGUGCCAACGCCGAAUGGCACACUAGUGGUGGUGCCGUACACCGGCACGUUGACACUGCACAUCAUUGGCAGGGUACGGAGUGCAAUGGAAGUCAUCAACUCAAGUUGAGCUAUUUGGUGUGGCUGCAACAAGGUACCCUGUGGUACCUGUUGUUGUUGAGGCCAUUGACCCAGUUGUUGUUGUUGAGGUCGUUGGAAAGAACACUGUCCGAGCUGCUUCUGUUGUUGUUGGGGUUGGGAGACACCUUGGACCGACUGUUGGGGUUGUUGCUGCUGAGGUUGGUUGAAACCCUGACCAUGUUGUUGUUCUUGUAGGACGAUCGAGUAGAUGAUGGCACGGAUUGCAUCAUAGCGUGAUUGUUCGGGGAUUCGCGGCAGCUGCUGGCAAC